rnacentral:lncRNA from 1 species
GUGAACAUACAUUUUGAGAUACUAAUACCCCGUCACAAAUGCAACCAACCAUCAGGUGUUCCACAGGUUUAUUGUUUAUGUUAUCUUUGUCGUGUUGAUGAUAUAGGCUUAGGUAGCUUGUGAUGCAACCACGCCUACUGAGAUCCAGACAGUGGUGGUGAUUUAGGUGACGAUGCUGGAGGGGGAAGGUGUUUCCUCCGUCCACUUUCCGUCUCCAUCUUUCCUGGCUAGGGCCCCUGUUUAUAGGCUUCGCUGCCUGCUGUUACCACAAGUUUUAGUUGUGGCCUGUAGUUUCAUAACUGUGGUACAGUAUGAAUGUUAGGUUAAAUAACUAUUUGCUGUUGUUGCUUUAUUUAUGCCUCCCGAUAUAUGCGGGCACCGUAUGCAGUCCUUUUCUAGUACAUUCGGAGAGUCCUCUUCUGAUCUUGAGCUGAAAAAUGGACUAACUGAUAUUGUACGUGUGGGUCGGUGAUAGCAACUGCGUCUGAUGGUACACCUGGAUGAAUGGUUCCAACGUCGGUUGGUGACAUCUCGGUAUCUGAUGGCAUCAUGAUGUGGAUAUGUAGAUCACUGAAUCUUGACAAAAUGGUCGCUAGCACGAACACUGGAAGGCUGCCAAGUUGCUGCGGUUUGCUGGUUCAGCCUGGUGCACGUUCGUCGCCAUGGAUGAAAGGGAUGUGCUACCUGUGAUCUCCAGACAGCACAUCUGGGCAUGCUCUCCUAUGAGCGACCUACACUGUUUCUAGCCAUUGUUUUGCCUCCCUGUUUUGUCUCAGCUCUCAUUUGGAUCUGGAAACUGUUGCUUAGUUUUCUGGGUGGCCAUGGGCAUGCCGCGUGAGUCGAUGAACUGGAGUGUCUGUUUUGUGUGGGAAAUCAUUUCGCUUUCUUCCUGGGAAGAUCUAUCUAUGGACAUGCUGCUAUAUUUGGCCUCACAAACUAAGAUUUGUGCACCUCAUUUGCAUCCGGGAUUGGAGUUUGGUUUCUGAAUAAUGGAGUGGGGUGGCAGUAGUAACAGGCAAAACCAAUUGUGUGGGGCAAGCUGAAGAUCCAGCUGCCGCACGUUCCAGCGACCGCCCCUGACAGAGACUCCCCCAGAGCUGGAGAGAUGGAUGGUCACUUGCAUUGCAUCUGAAUGUAGUACUCCCUCCGUUCCUAAAUACUGAACUCCCUCCAUCCUGAAAUACUUGUCGGAGAAAUGCAUAAAAAUGGAUGUAUCUAGAAUUAAAAUACGUCUAGAUACAUACAUUCCUCCGACAAGUAUUUCCGGACGGAGGGAGUAUAAGUCUUUGUAGGGAUUUCACUAGGUGGACUACAUACGGAGCAAAAUGGAUGAAUCUACACUUAAAAUGUAUCUAUAUACAUCCGUACGUGGUUCAUAGUGAAAUCUCUACAAAGACUUAUAUUUAAGAACGGAGGGAGUAGUAUUUUGUUUCAUCCAUCAUGGCCCCCUGAAAAAUGGAAUCCUCAGUCACUCCAGUUUUGUGUCCCCCCCUUGCAAUUGUGGGUGGAUCUUGUAGGUUGCUAGUAGGCUGGAUGAUCUUUUGAUAGAUACUGGAGAUUUGGAGCCGCUCGAUGAAUCACUGUAUGCUGUGUAGGUUGUUACAUAGGGUGUCUUUUAACGUGAUCAUCAUGCCGCAUCCACUGCUGCGCCCAAGUCUGAUGCCAUGAUGGCUAUGUGCUACCCGUGAGCUCUGUCCAAUCCUUCCGACAUGAUUAGUUUGAUGUACCUCUGUUCGGGUUUGUCCGUGUUUAUUGGUCUUCAACGUAUUUUGUGUCAAAUUUUAACUAUAGAUUUAAUGCAGAUUUGACUAAUAAAAUCUAAGUUGUAUGUCACGAAAGUUAUAUUGUUGGAUUUAUAUUUGAAAAUGGAUUCCAAUUAUACUAUUUUUAUGGUGUAUAAAAUAUAUUUUGGUAGUUAAAUUAAGGACGCGGAUAACUGCCACACAUGUGGUAUACUAGCCAUCCGCCCACAUACCGUGUGUGGCGUGAGCAGGAGGCAGCCCACACGGAUUGUGUGUGGGCGAACAUUAGAAUUGCUCACAUAUGUGGGCGUUACUACUUCGUGCCACACGCCCAAUAAAAUACUACUCAUCUCCAUCCUGAGCGUGUGGCACGAAGCAAAAAUGCCCACACAUCCUGACACAAUUACAUUAGAUACUUUUGCGGGAUGACGAUUUAGUUGCCAUCCGAGAUGACAUAUAUAGUUAUCUGGGAUGGCAAAUGUAGUUAUAAAAGCAUGGCAACUCUAUCUAUUUUAGUUGACUAGUUGCCAUGUCUAAUUUAUGAUAGUUGCCGCAUGUAAUCAAGCCAUAGUUGCUGUGUGUGAUUAACUACUUGUCAUAUAUGGUCAAAUAGUAGUUGUCAUGUGUGUUUAUUUAGUUGUCACGUGUGGUCCAACUAUAGUUGCUAUGUAUGGUUAAUCACAGUUGCCAUGUGUAUUUAUCUGGUUGCCACGUACGCGCAACUGCAAUUGCCGUCUUGCAAUGAAUCAUAGUUACCAUGUGUUUUUACCUAGUUGCCACGUACGCGUACUGCAUUUGCCAUCCAACAACGUACGGGUGUCGAAUGGGCGAAAUCAGUUCGCCCACAAGCGCGUGAACUAGGUGUUGGCUGUGUGGGCAAAAACUAGUUCGCCCACAUAGUGUAGUGUAGGUGCCAAACCACGUGCUGCGGGCAUGUGGGCGAACUCUCCAACGCUCACACACCAGCCCCGUCCUACGUGACACGCGAAUUCUACCUCAAUGUGUCAAGAUUCGUGCAAACUUGACUGGACGGUCAUCCAUGCAUGUGGGUGAGUUGCAAAACUGCCACACGUGUGGGCAAAACUGCCACACGUGUGGCCGUUAGUCUUUCCAUAAAUUAGUGGUCAAAUUUUGACUAAAAAACACUAGGGAGUAAUAAACCUGGAUAGAGGUACUAGCUUUGGCUACUCCAGCGCAGAUCAGUAAAACGGACCUCAUCGUGGACUCGAAUCGGGGUGGAGGUCAUUCAAACGGUUGUAUGGACGCAGCGGUGGCUUUAUUUAUAAAAUAGGAUGAAAGCCUAUUUUGAGGAGGUUAUUCGACCGCAUGCACCAAAUGUUCGCUCCUAGAUUUUUCUCCACGCCGACUACACAAAACAAUCAAAGGUAAAUAGCACAAUUCUAAAGUAAUUGAACGAUAAAUAUUCCAAUUCAACAACAAUAGUAAAAAUAGUACAAACAUAAAAUUUUGAAAAAAAUACUUUCAAGUUUGAAUUCAACUUAGUCAACCACAUGUUCUGAUUGUCCAUAUGAAACGCCCAAAGAAGCCCAACCAGAUCAUUCUGCAUUUGCUCAUGAGUUUCUUGAUGUCCAAUUCAACAACAACAACAACAACAACAACAGUAAUAAUAGUAAUAAUAAUAAUAUAAUUCAAAUAUAACAUUUUAAAAUAAAAUAGUUUUAAGUUUGAAUUCAACUUAGUCGGUCUAUGCUAUGGAAGCUAGAUAGGAUCACCACGUUUUGAAAAUUCAGGCCAUGGCGAACUUCUUCAGCCUCAUCCUCCACAGUCAUUUUGUGCAUGAUCAUGCAAGUUGUCAUCAUCUCUCCAAAUGUCUAUGGAUCUCAUAGUUUAACGGUUUCGCAAACAACUACAAAACCUCAUAGUUUAGCGGUUUCGCGAACAACUACAAAACAUGCUUGGAGCACUCCAAUUACUCCCUUGACAUCCUUUCUAGUAGCCUCUUGUCUUUGGACAAAGUGUCAUUUUUAUUACCCUUGGUUCGAAGAUGGUAUAGAUGAAAGCUGCCCACGGAGGAUAGAUACCAUCACAAAGAUAGCAAUCUAUGUUGUAAUCAUGACAAUUGAUGGUAUAGUUGCACUCAGGAGUGCUAGCACACAACCUGCAAACAAUGGAGACCGCUAUAACAUGUUGUCAUUGUGAGACCCAGACAUGCCAAAGAAAGAGUGCAGAAAUGAAAGAUCAUAUAAUGCAACUUAUUCAAGAAUGAUGGUUCCCUUUUUGCAAUGGAGUUGGUAUUGCCCUUCUUGAGCAUAUGGCAAUUCUCUCAUUUAUCAGAUUUGAGCAUACCUAGAAACCGCACAUGGCAAUUCUUUCAUUUCCAGGUUUGAGCAUACCUAGACACCCUCUCGAUUUUCCAAUUGCCAUGAGCCUUGUUGUGUUUACAUGAGUUAGUUCCCUCAAGUACUCUGGUCCAACAGCUUCACCACUAUAGUAGAAAAUUUGACAAUCACUUUAAGGCAUGUGCUUUCAGACAUCCGAAGGUACUCAUCACAAAUUUGCAGUCGUGCCAUAUGCAAACAUCCUCAUUGCAGCUGUGUACAUGACAUCUAUCAGGAUGAAGUAAUCAUCAUAUGCCUGGACAUAUGUCACCACAUCUGAAGUCGACGGUAGAAAUAGGGCUUGAAUAACUCAUUGGGGCAAAGUAGUCGCCGAUCAAAAUCAUAUGCUCGUGUGCCCUAUUUAGAUUCACGACUCAAUGUCCCUUUAUUGAUCCCUUGUAGUUGAGAAUAUGAUCCUCUGCAUGCACCAUGUCUGCAAGAAUCGCCUUCGACGUUGUUGUUUUAUCCUCAUAUUCCUCCUUCUCAUCCAACGAAGAUGACUCCAUGAACUCAUUGUAGAAGUACUCCUUGUCCAAAUCCAUCAUGUUUUCUUUAAAGUAAACUACGAUAACAUAAAAAAAACCAGGCAAUGUCAUUUGGUUGAACACUUGUCGGGCAUAGUGUUUGCCAUGGACGAUGUUGACAGGAAGCGGAGAAUACCGAGGCUGCAACUAGAUUCGUGUUGGACUCGUGACGUAGUCUAUGGCGGGAAGGCGCCUAGGUGGAGUGGUGGAGGUACAAAAAGGACUGGGAGGCGGCCAGAGUGGUACAAUGGCAGCGUUGGUCGCCGAGGGUGUGGAUACAGAUAAUAGGGGCUAGGGACGGAAUAUUCAGAAAGUGCUCCUGGUGUGGUUUUUGGGUGGACCGGGGGUGUCGGAGUACGAAGUGGCGGACGUCCGGACUCCCCAAAUAUCUCCUUCUUUUGGUGUCGGAUUGUGGGAUUUCAGGCGUUUGGACCGGUUCGGACAAUUUUGGUGCCGUCGUUGGAUGGCAAAAAAUGCUCGUAAUGCGCGGUUCAGACAUUUGCAGGCGAUUAGUGAUUCACAUUGGAGUUCUCCUUAGGUAGCUAGCUACCAUGUCUUGUUCUCAUUUCUUGCUAUAGUUGCCACAUAGGAAUGUAUGCAUAAUUAGGGGAAAUGACUUAAUAAAUGCAUGAACUAGGCUUAAAGCAUCUUCAACAUGACUCUCCAUAUGUCCGUGGAUGUGUCUAGAUAAUGUCCUCGGACAUGCCCACAGGAAUCCCAUUUGUCCCUCAUUUUUUCGAACAAAGGCAUAUGAUUGGUGGGAUGGAAAGAGAGAAGAUAUAAAUGAGAGAGAGAGAGAGAGAGAGAGAGAGCGAGAGCGAGAGCGAGAGAGAGAAUGGUCUGGAUUGAUCCACAUUCGAAGUGGCGGGCUAUCUAGACACCCCAUUUCCUUCCCUCAUAAGGGCUAGGUUAGGGUGCUUGUGGAGGUCCGUACAAAUGGAGAAUUUGGGGACCUUCGUUGGAGAGGUGUUUUUGUGUCCGAUCAUGUCCAUACAAUAUUUGGGCUAUCCAUCCAAAAAUAUGUGGAAGAUUUGGGGACCUCGGUUGGAGAUAUUCUUAUGUGGGGAAAUAGAUAACAAGUUCGAAAUAGGGAUAAGGAGAUAUCUAAGGGAAUGUAUCAAAUUAUUUCUCCAUUUACCUGCGGAUAUCCCCCAUUUUCCUACCAAAAUGGUGGUACCCAGGGGUAUACUUCAUUGCAAACGGAUAUUCUUUUGCUACCGAAUUGAACAUAUACAUCACGUCAGUUCUAGAACCUAGUGCCGAACUAAGUGCACAUGAAUGUUGAAAGCAUUUGCUACUUGUGAGCCGCGAUGGGAUUUCAUCGAAGAGUAGAGGAUGAUGCAAUACAAUAGUGAUAAGUAUUUCCCUCAGUUAAGAACCAAGGUUAUCAAUCCAAUAGAAGAACCGUGUAAGACCUCGUGAACAACAUCUACACACAAAGUAAUAAAUACUUGCAGCCAACGCAAAGAAGGGGUUGUCAAUCCCUCGGCGGUUAAUUACAAGGAUCAAAUCUCGUAGUGAUAGAUAGAUAAACAAAAACACAAAAUAAAAUAACGGUAAAUAAAUUCAAGUAAGGUAUUUUUGGAUUUUAAUAUAUGAUAAAGAUAGACCCGGGGGCCAUAGUUUUCACUAGAGGCUUCUCUCUUGAACAUAGCAUACAAUGGGUAAAAAAUUACUGUUGGACAAUUGUUAGAAAAGCGCAUAGUUAUGACCAUAUUCAAGGCAAUGAUCAUGUAUAUAGACAUCACGUCCGAGACAAGUAGACCAACUCCUGCCUGCAUCUACUACUAUUACUCCACACAUCGACCGCUAUCCAGCAUGCAUCUAGAGUAUUAAGUUCAUAUAGAACGGAGUAACGCCUUAAGCAAGAUGACAUGAUGUAGAUAAAGUAAGCCCAAUUAAUGUGAAUAAACCCCAUCUUUUUAUCCUUAGUGGCAACGAUACAAAUGCGUGCCAUGUCCCUUUCUGUCACUGGGAUUGGGUAACACAAGAUCAAACUCAUCACAAAGCACCUCUCCCAUUGCAUGAUAAAUCGAUCUAGUUGGCCAAACCAAACGAAUAGAUCAGAGAGAAAUACAAAGCUAUAACAAUCAUGCAUAAAAGAGUUCAAAUAAGACUCAGAUAAUAUUCAUGAAUAAUCUGAUCAUAAACCACAAUUCAUCAUAUCCCAACAAACACAUCGCAAAAAAGGAUUACAUCGAGUAGAUCUCCAAGAACAUCAGGAGAACAUUGUAUUGAAGAUCAAAGAGAGAGAAGAAGCCAUAUAGCUACUAGCUAUGCACCUGUAGGUCUGUGGUAAACUACUCACACAUCAUCAAAAGGGCAACAAGGUUGAUGUAGUGGUUCUCCAUGAUCGAUUCCCCCUCCGGCAAAGUACCGAAAAAGGUCUCUAGAUGGGAUCUCUGAAGAACAGAAACUUGUGGCGGCGGAAAAAGUAUUUUGGGUGGCUCCCUGAUGUAUUGAAAAUAUUUGGGAAUUUAUAGAGCUGGAAUUAGGUCAAGAGGUGCCACGAGGGGCCCACAAUCCUGGGGGACGCCCCCCCCCCCGGGUCGCGCCUGGCAGGCUUGUCGCUCCCUCAUGACUUUUCAGGUCUUCUCCCAAAGCUUCUAGGGCCCCUUCUGGUCCAGAAAACAUCGUUAAAAGGUUUCAUAGCAUUUGGACUCUGUUUGGUACUCAUUUUCUGAAAAGCCAAAAACAACAACUAGCACUAGGUUAAUAAGUUAGUGCAAAAUGUAUAUAUAAUUUCAUAUAAUUGCAUAAUAAACAUCCAAGAUUGGUACUAUAAUGGCAUGGAACAAUAAAAAAUAUUAUGGAUACAUUGGAGACAUAUCAACAUCCCCAAGCUUAAUUCCUGCUCGUCCUCGAGUAGGUAAAUGAUAAAAAUAGAAAUUUUGAUGUGGAAUGCUACCUAUCAUAUGCAUCAUGUAAUCUCUUUUGUGGCAUGAAUAUUAAGAUCCGAAUGAUUCAAAGCAAUAGUCUAUAAGUUGACAUAAAGACAUCAAUACUCAGGCAUACCAACAAACAAUCAUGCCUUUCAAAAUAUCAAUACUAAAGAACGCUAUCCCUACAAAAUCAUAUAGCCUUGUCAUGUUCCAUCUUCUUAACACAAAGUAUAAAUCAUGCACUACCCCGGUGUCAGCUACCUAUCAUACUUUUUAACGCGCUUCAACUUUUUCAACCCUCACACAAUACAUGAGCGCAAGCCAUGGAUAUAACACUAUGGGUGGAAUAGAAUACGGUGGUAGUGAUUAAUAUGGAGAAGACAAAAAGGAGAAAGGCUCACAUCGACGAGGCUAAUCAACAGGCUGUGGAGAUGCCCAUCAAUUGAUGUCAAUGCAAGGAGUAGGGAUUGCAUGCAACUGAUGCACUAAGAGCUAUAAGUGUAUGAAAACUCAAAAAGAAAACGAAGUGGGUGUGCAUCCAACUUGCUUGCUCAUGAAGAUCUCAGGCAUUUGAGGAAGCCCAUCAUUGGAAUAUACAAGCCAAGUUCUAUAAUUAAAAAUUCCUACGAGUUAUAUGAAAGUGAAAGCAUAGGAGACUCUCUAUAUGAAAAACAUGGUGCUACUUUGAAGUACAAGUGUGGAAAAGGAUAGUAAUAUUGCCCCUUCUGUCUUUUUCUCUCAAGUUUUUUAUUUUUUUGUCGGUCUCUUUUUUAUGGGUUCUUUUUGGCCCUUUUUUAUUUCCUCACUUGGGACAAUGCUCUAAUAAUGAAUAAUGAUGAUCAUCACACUUCUAUCUACUCAACUCAAAAUUACAACUCAAUAUUAGAACAAAAUAUGACUCUAUAUGAAUGCCUCUGGAGAUGUACCAGGAUGUGCAAUGAUCUAGCAUAAGAUGUAUAAAAAAUGAUGAGCAGUGGCUGAGCCACAAAUACUAUGUCAGCCAUAUGAUCAUGCAAAGCAAUAUAACAAUGAUGAUGUGUAUCAUAAAAAUGGAACGGUGGAAGUUGCAUGUCAAUAUAUCUCGGAAUGGCUACGAAAAUGCCAUAAUAGGUAGGUAUGGUGGUUGUUUUGAGGAAGAUAUAAGGAGGCUUAUGUGUGAUAGAGAGUAUCAUAUCAUGGGGUUUGGAUGCACCAACGGAGUUUGCACCACAUCUUGAGGUGAGAAAGGGCAAUGCACGACACCCAAGAGGCUAGCAAAUGGCGGAAAAGUGAGAGUGCGUAUAAUCCAUGGACUCACAUUAGUCAUAAAGAACUCACAUACUUAUUGCAAAAGUCCAUUAGCCCUCGAAGCAAAGUAUUACUACGCAUGUUCCUAAGGGGGAGGUUGGUAGGAGUUAACCAUCGUGCGCCUCGACCUUCAUGCAAAGGAAGACACUCAAUAAUAAAUCGUGCUCCAACUUCUUAGCAUAACGAGAGACUAUACAUGCAUGCUUCAGGAAUCACAAACCUUAACACCAAUAUUCUUACUAAACCAUAAUGUUUCAAUAGUACCUCCACAUAUUACCAUCUUUAUAUCGCAAAACUAUUGCAAGGAAUCAAACUUAUCAUAUUCAGUGAUCGACAUGAAAGUUUUUAUGAUAUCCCUCUUGAAUACCUAUCGUAUCAGGACCAGAUUCAUAACCCAUGCAAAUUGCCAUUACUAUUUACCAAACUCUCAAAAUAAUGUAAGUGAAGCAUGAGAGUGCAACUAUUUCUUAAAAAUAUAACCACCGUCAUGCUCUAAAAAAUAUAAGUGCGGCACUAGAGCAACUGCCUAGCUCAAAAGAUAUAAGUGAAGCACAUAGAGUAUUCUAACAAAUCUUGAAUAAUGUGUGUCCCUCUCAAAAAGGUGUGUUCAACAAAGAUGAUUGUGGCAAACUAAAAACAAAACAAAGAGAAGACUCAUAUAAUACAUGACGCUCCAAGCAAAACUCAUAUCAUGUGAUGAAUAAAUAUAUAGGUCCAAGUAAUUUAUCGAUGGUUGAUAGACAAAAGAGGGGAUGCCAUCCGGGGCAUCCCAAUCUUAGACGGUUGGGUGUCCUUUAAUAUUACCUUGGGGUUCCUUGGGCAUCCCCAAGCUUAGGCUCUUGCCACUCUCAAUUCCUUUAUCCAUUGCGGUCUCACUCAAAACUUGAAAACUUCAGCAAACAAAACUCAAAAGAAAGAUCCGUUAGUAUAACUAGCAAAUCAUAAAAUUUAGGUACUGUUGUAAACUCAUUCAUAUUUUAUCAUUCGAUAUUACCUACUGUAUUCUAGCUUCAGCAUGACUGAUAUCCCCCGAUACAAUCCAUAAAUUCAUUAAAACAAGGAAACAAUGCAAUGAAAACAAAAUCCAUCAAAAACAGAACAAUUUGUAUUGGUAUGGCUAAGCGCUAUACUUCUGUAACCCCAAAAAUUCUGAAAAAUUAGGACAACAUGGGAAUUUUUUAUCAAUCAUGUGUAUUUUUUUAUAAAUUAUAACGUUCCAGUGAAUCUAAACAAUUCUUCUAUUGGGUGUAAAAGUUUCUGUUUUAUCACAGAAUCAAAUCAACUAUUAACCAAAUCAUCCCAAAGGCUUUACUUGGCAUAAACACUAAUUUAAACACAAAAACACAACCAUAACAGUAGCAUAAUUUUGUGCACACCAAAAAAAAACAAGAAAACAAUGAUAGCUAUAGGGUUGCCUCCCAACAAGCGCUAUUGUUUUACGCCCCUAACUAGGCGUAAUGCAUAGUUUCAAGUGUUGUCAACCUUCAAAUUAAUUCCAUAGGUGGCCCUAAUAAUAUAUUCAUAUGGUCGCUUAAUUAUCUUUCUAGGGAAUCGUUCCAUUCCUUUCGUUAAUGGAAAUUGAAAUCUUACAUUGCCUUCUUUCAUAUCAACAAUUACACCUAUGGUUCUCAGGAAAGGUCUACCAAGUAUGCGACAAGAUGGAUUGUAAUUAAUAUCAAGCACAAUGAAAUCAACGGGCACAUAAUUCCCAUUUGCAAGAAUAAGAAAAUCAUUCAUUCUACCCAAGGUUUCUCAAUAGUGGAAUCUGCUAAGUGCAAAUUAAGAGAAAAUUCAUCCAUAUUGGAAAAACCUAGCUCGUCACAUAAAGAUUUUGGCAUUAUGGAAAUGCUAGCACCUAAAUCACAUAAAGCAUUGCACUCAUAAUUUUUAAUUUUUAAUUUAGUAGUAGGUUCCCACUCAUCAUUUAAUUUUUUAGGUACCGAAACCUCUAAUUCUAGCUUUUCUUCUAAAGCUUUCAUCAUAGCUUCUACAAUAUAUUUCGUAAAAGCCUUAUUUUGUUCACAAGCAUGUGAAUUUAGGAUGGAUUGCAACAAGGAAAUACACUCAAUUAAAGAACAACUAUUAUAUAAAAAUCCUUGAAAUCCAAAGUAGUGUGCACAUCACUAUUUAAAGUUUUGACCUCUCCAAACCCACUUUUAUCAAUUUUUUCAUUAAGAUUUUCACCCUUCGAACAAUCAGGACUCCUUCUAGCUAAAGUUGAAUUAUCUUCAGUCCCCUUUUCAUCAAGUUUAUAUUCCUAAACAAAGAUUCAAUGAGUGAGACACCAAUCCUUUUAAUAUCUUCAUCACGACAAUGAUAAAAACCGAGUGGAAUCGCUUUUUCUAAGAAUUCUUGCUUAGCCCUCAACCUAGCGAUUCUUUCUUUACUUUUGUCAAGGGAAACAUAGAGAGCUUUAAUUGAAUCACUAAUAUCAAGCUUGGGUGACAAAAUUUUAGUUUUGAGAUUUUCCACAUCAUGAGCUAUUCUAUCCAUGUUCCUAGACAUAUCAUCAGUUUUACUCAAUUUUUCCUAUAUCAUAGUAUUGAAAAUCUUUUGAGAAUUAAUAAAUUAUUUUAUAUUAAUUUCAAGAUCAGAGGGCAUAUUAUUAUUAUUAUUAUUAUUAUUAUUAUUAUUAUUAUCAGAGGGCAUAUUAUUAUUAUUAUUAUUAUUAUUGUUAUUAUUAUUAUUAUUAUUAUUAUUACCAUAGGAAUUGCCAUAAUUAUUAGAGGAAUUUCCAGGAAACAACCUAGGAUUAAAAUAACCUCUAUAAGCAUUACUAUUGAAAUUGUUUCCCGAGGCAAAAUUCACAUCUAAGGGAUCAUUAUUUUUCUCAAUCAAAGUAGACAAUGUCACAUCAUUAGGAUCAAUAUGGGCACUAUUACUAGCAACCAUUUUCAUAAGCGUAUCUAAUUUAUCACUCAAAGUAUUACUUUCUUCAACAGAAUUCACUUUUUUACUAGUAGGAGUUCUUUCAGGAUGCCAUUGUGAAUAAGUUUCCAUAAUAGCAUCAAGCAAUUUUGUAGCUUCUCCUAGUGUGAUUUCCAUAAAGGUACCACCCGCUGCUGAAUCCAAAACAUUUCUAGAAAUGAAGUUCAAUCCCGCAUAAUUUUUUUUGUAUGAUCAUCCAUAAGCUUAAAGCAUGAAUAGGGAAAUUUCUUAUCAUUAAGUUCAUCCUCUCCUAAGAUUGGGCAACAUGUUCAUGCUCAAGUUGCUUAAUAUUCAUGAUUUGAUUUCUAAGAGAAAUAAUUUCGUGGGAGGAAAAUACUUGGCAAUAAAAGCAUCCUUACACUUAUCCCAAGAAUCAUAUUAAUUCGUGGCAAGGAUAAAAACCAAGUUUUAGCACAAUCUCGUAGUGAGAACGGAGAUAAUUUUAAUUUGACAAUAUCAUUUCCACAACUUUUUUAUUUUGCAUAUCACACAAUUCAACGGAAGUGUAAUGGUGGGAUGCAACAUCUUUAUUAGGGCUACUAGAAAAAUGUUAUUUCAUAACAAGAUUUAGCAAAGUGGCAUUAAUAUCACAUGACUCUACACUAGUGGAGGGAGGAGCAAUCAGAGUACUAAUAAAAUCAUUAUUAUUAGUAUUGGAAAAAUCACACAACUUUGUAUUUUCUUGAAACAACGUGACAAGGCAAGCAAAUAAGUAAACAAGCAAAAACAAAGAUGAAAAAUAUUUUUGUGUUUUUGUGAAAACGUUUUAGAAGUGGGGGAGGCAAAUGAUAAAUUAAAGUAAAUGCAAGGAGGUGAAAGUUUAUGCGAAGGUACUUGAUAGGUUUUGGUGAUGUCUCCCGGGCGACGGUGCCAAAAAUUCUUCCUGGUACUUGUGAGCUGCGUUGGGAUUUCCUCAAAGAAGAGAGGAUGAUGGAGUAUAGUAGAGAUAAGUAUUUCCCUCAGUUGAGAACCAAUGAUAUUAAUCCAGUAGGAGAACCACACAAGACCUCGUGAACAACACCCACACACAAAAAAUAAAUACUUGCACCUAAUGCAAACAAGGGGUUGUCAAUCCCUUAGCGGUUAAUUGCAUUGAUCAAAUCUCGUAGUGAUGGACAGAUAAACAAAGCACAAAAAAUUAAUGGUAAAUAAAUUGCAGCAAGGUAUUUUUUGGAUUUUAAUAUAUGAUAAAGAUAGACCCGGGGGCCAUAGUUUUUACUAGAGGCUUCUCUCUUGAACAUAGCAUAUGAUGGGUAAACAAAUCUGUUGGGCAAUUGAUAGAAAAGCGCAUAGUUAUGAUGAUAUUCAAGGCAAUGAUCAUGUAUAUAGGCAUCACGUCCGAGAUAAGUAGACUGACUCUUGCCUACAUUUACUACUAUUACUCCACACAUCGACCGCUAUCCAGCAUGCAUCUAGAGUAUUAAGUUCAUAACGAAUGAAGUAACACCUUAAGCAAGAUGACAUGAUGUAGACAAAGUAAACCCAAUUAAUAUGAAUAAACCCCAUCUUUUUAUCCUUAGUGACAACGAUACAAAUACGUUUCAUGUCCAUUUUUGUCACUGGGAUUGAGAAACACAAGAUCGAAUCCAUCACAAAGCACCUCUCCCAUUGCAAGAUAAAUCAAUCUAGUUGGCCAAACCAAACGGAUAGAUCGGAGAGAAAUACAAAGCUAUAACAGUCAUGCAUAAAAUAUUUCAGAGAAGACUCAAAUAAUAUUCAUGAAUAAUCUGAUCAUAAACCUAAAAUUCAUCGGAUCCCAACAAACACACCACAAAAAAGGAUUACAUCGAAUAGAUCUCCAGGAACAUCAAGGAGAACACUAUUCAUUCAUCUCUAGCAUUGAACCUAUGAAGGUUGAAGAAGCAUUGGAAGAUCUGGAUUGGAUAAACGCUAUGCAUGAAGAGCUACAAAACUUUGAGAGAAAUCAAGUUUGGACAUUGGUUGAGAAGCCCGACAACAACCACAACAUCAUCGGUACCAAAUGGGUGUUUCGCAACAAGCAAGAUGAAGAUGGACAAGUAGUUUGCAACAAAGCACGUUUUGUCGCCCAAGGCUACACACAAGUCGAAGGUAUGGACUACGGUGAGACAUAUGCUCCCGUUGCUAGACUUGAGUCCAUUCGCAUCUUACUUGCCUAUGCUAAUCACCAUGACAUCACCUUGUACCAAAUGGACAUUAAAAGUGCCUUUUUAAAUGGUGAAAUAGAGGAGGAAGUUUAUGUUAAGAAACCUCCCGGCUUUGUCAAUCCUAAGAAACCUAAUCAUGUUUACAAACUUUGCAAAGCUCUUUAUGGUCUUAAACAAGCUCCUAGAGCAUGGUAUAAAUGCUUGGCCAAGUUCCUUAUUGAAAAAGGCUUUGAAAUUGGAAAAAAAUGAUUCUACUCUUUUUACUAAAAGGUUUAAUGGAGAACUAUAUGUAUGCCAAAUUUAUGUAGAUGAUAUUACAUUUGGAUCAACUAACCCUCAUUUUAGUGAGAAGUUUGGAAAGCUAAUGUCGGAGAAGUUUGAGAUGUCGAUGAUGAGUGAACUCAAAUUCUUUCUUGGGUUGCAAAUCAAGCAAACUAAGGAAGGUACUUUUGUCUCUCAAACAAAGUACACCAAGGACUUAUUCAAGAAGUUCAAUAUGCAAGAAUGCAAAGGCAUGCCUACACCCAUGCCUACUAGUGGACAUCUUGAUUUAACCAAAGAUGGUGAACCGGUCGAUCAAAAGGUUUAUCGCUCUAUGAUUGGUUCAUUGUUGUAUCUAUGUGCUUCAUGUACCGAUAUUAUGCUAAGUGUGUGCAUGAAUGCACAAUAUCAAGCUGCACCUAAAGAAUGUCAUCUUAAGGCUGUGAAAAGUAUAGUGAGAUACUUAAUCCAUACACCAAACUUUGGCAUUUGGUAUCCAAAGAGGGCCUCUUUCGACCUUGUUGGCUACUCCGACUUGGACUAUGCCGGUGACAAGGUUGAUAGAAAGUCCACUUCGGGUACUUGUCAAUUUCUUGGUAGAUCUCUUGUAUCUUGGUCUUCCAAGAAACAAAACUCGAUAUCCUUAUCCACCGCUGAAGCGAAAUACAUUGCCGCUAGUUCAUGUUGUGCUCAAUUACUUUGGAUGACCCAAACUCUUAAAGAUUUUGGGAUAUAUGUGAAACAUGUUCCAUUACUUUGUGACAAUGAAAGUGCUAUCAAGAUUGCUCACAAUCCCGUGCAACAUUCUCGAACUAAGCAUAUUGAAGUUCGUCAUCAUUUCAUUCUAGAUCAUGUUGCCAAAGGGGACAUUAAUCUUAAGCAUGUUUGCACUGAAAAACAAUUAGCGGAUAUUUUCACUAAACCACUUGAUGAGAAAGUGUUUUGCUGGUUGAGAGGAGAAUUGAACAUCAUUUAUGCUUCAAAUUUGGAGUAGGAACUCCAUUUGAUACAUGCAAGACAAGAGCCUAUGACUAAUGCUUGAUAUUUCUCUUAUAAUGAUAAUCUUACAUCUUGGAUAUAUUUGCACCUUGCAUGUUAUCUAACCCUUGUAGGAACUUGGCUGGAUCUAAAUCUAUGAGAUUGCAACUCACUCACAUCUUAGCAAUCCCUACAUCACCAAGUCUCUACGUAAUGGUGGUUGAAGACAAGGAAGCACGAAACCAUUCACACAUAUCCUUUGACAAAUUCUAUGUUGAGUUUCAUGAUUGUCAUUUUGGAUACACAAGUGCUCUUCCUUGCAAAUACUAACCCAUGUAGGUAGAUGGACUCAAAUUCCAAAGUGGUGCUCCCAACUCUUGAUGAGCUACAUCAACCUCGAGCAACCCACACAAGUUCAACUACAUGAUCAUGAUCACCACCACCACCCUAGGUAUGUUAUUCCAUCUUAGAGAAGCUUUACUCCAAGACAUGAGUCAAAGCAACUCGACAAGAUGUGAAUACAUCAAGAUGCUUAAAUGAAAAAUGGUAACCCCCAUUUCGAGCUUAAACGAUGAGUAUGACCCAUGAUCAAGUGAUCUCACUUGACUCCUAAGUCAAUAUACUCUAACAUAGGUGACUUUGUCGCCGACCAAUUCUAGGUGAAGUUCUCUUGUGUUCCUUUCUGUGCUCUUGCAUCUGUCUCAUGCAUAUUUGUAUUAAAAAAACUUCAUCUAGAUUUCUUCUCUUUUCUGUUCUGCAUUUCCUGCAUCCAAUUCAUUGCAAAUCUUUCAGUUAAUUCCUUGCAAAUCCUUGUGAGAUCUUACUUGUCUAAGUGAGCUGAGGUGACAAAUGUUUUCUUUGUGAUAAACUCGGUCACAUCGGCCUGUCACUUUCGGUCCCACUGAAUCCUUUCGGUGCAACUGAAGCAUACAACUCGGUGCCACCGAUUUCACUACAGGAAAGACAUUUGGCCACUUGUUCCUGCAUCACUUUUGAUCCAGCUCCACUCAAAGAAUCUUGUCCUAUACCAGCAUCACAUCAAACUUGUUGCUUUGCUUUUGUGACUCAAGGACCAAACCCAUUUAUGACAAAUUCCAGAAGACCCUUCUUGGAAAUUGAUGUCAAAGGGGGAGAGAGAGAUCACAUCAAAGCUUAAUCAUAUCUCUAGGGGGAGAGAAUACUCAAGGAGAGAGUAAUCUUCAAGGAUCCCAGAUGCUUGGUGUUCAAGAGAAGAGAUGUUACAUGUCUUCUCAUAUGUGCUUAUUUGCAUUAGCUCUAUUCGUUUGUUUCUUUGAGCUCUGAUUUUCUGUUCCCUACCUUCUCCCAGUAUCCCAUGCUAGAUUCAGGGGGAGCAAGACAUCUAAGGGAAAGAAAUUCUUUAAAUUCAUUGCACAUCUUUACCACCCUUGGGGACAUGUCUAUAUAAAAUGUGGUACCUAGUACUCACUCUCUACAUGUCAUCCCAGUCUUGGUACUCUUGUGGUUUAUUUUGUUUGCUCUGGCUAGUAGGUGCAUCUGUGUUAUCUAACCUUAUUUUUGCAGGAUCAUUCCAUCCUAAGCCAACUCAAGACCACAAGGUAAGUAUAUGCAUCACAAUCAUGUGUAUGAGGAAUUCUUGCUGAUGUACAUACUGUUUGCAAGAAGGACUCAUGAGCAUGAAGGUACAUUUCCCACAUUCACAUCUUUUGCUCUGAAGCAUAUAGCCAAGAUACAUGUAACACAUUGCCCACUCUGUCAUGAUUAUGCAUUCACAUGCUUCUAUACUCCAAAUUCACAUGAUUGCAUACAUGUAGGGGGAGCCUAUGCAUGUUACAUGUCUGUCCAAAGCUUUACUAGUUAUUCUCUAUAUCUUUGUCUAAAGCUUUGAUGUAUGUUGCCAUCAAUUACCAAAAAGGGGGAGAUUGAAAGCACAAGUGCUCCCUGGGUGAUUUUGGUAAUUAAUGUCAACAUAUCUCUUAUUGGACUAACACUUUUAUCUAGUAUAUUUCAGAUAAGUUCAACGAUGAAGUGGCAUGGACUAGAGGAUGUGGAACCCCUUCAAGAUGCUAAGGACAAAAGGAUUGGCUCAAGCUCAAAGCUCAAGACUCUACAUUUUAUAUUUUAGUGAUCCAAGAUCACAUUGAGUCUAUAGGAAAAGCCAAUACUAUCAAGGAGGGAUGAGGUGUUGCUUAAUGAGAUUCUUGCUCAAAGUGCUUAGUAAUAUGCUCCAAAGCCCUCAACUACCUUCUCACAUCCACAUAUGACCUAAACCAAAAGUCAAACUCGGCCCCACUGAUUCUUUCUAUCCGGCGUCACCGAGUUCAGAUGUCAUAGCCACUGCCACAAACCCUAGGCAAAUCGGUCUCACCGAUAGGGAUCUCGGUCUCACCGAGAUGGGAUUGUAAUCUCUCUGUGUAUGUCCAUUACCAAAAUCGGUCUCACCAAGUUUGUGUAACCGGUCCUACCGAGAUUGCAAUGUAAACUCUUUGUUUCCCUUUCGUAACAUUUUGGUCUCACCGAAAUGAGUGAACCGGUCCCACCGAGUUUACCUGACCAACUCUCUGGUUAGCUUAUUACCAAAGUCGGUCCCAUCGAGUUUGUGUAAUCGGUCUCACCGAGAUUACAUUAUGCCCUAACCCUAACCAUAUCGGUCCUACCGAGUUGCAUGUCGGUCCCACCGAAAAUCCUAACGGUCACUAGAUUUGUUAAAUCGGUCCGACCGAGUUUCUCAAUUCGGUCCCGCCGAGAUUGGCAAGUUGUGUGUAACGGUUAGAUUUUGUGUGGAGGCUAUAUAUACCCCUCCACCCUCUUAUUCAUGGAGAGAGCCAUCAGAACGAACCUACACUUCCAACUUACAUUUUCUGAGAGAGAACCACCUACUCAUGUGUUGAGACCAAGAUAUUCCAUUCCUACCAUAUGAAUCUUGAUCUCUAGCCUUCCCCAAGUUGCUUUCCACUCAAACCUUCUUUCCACCAAAUCCAAAUCCCGUGAGAGAGAGUUGAGUGUUGGGGAGACUAUCAUUUGAAGCACAAGAGCAAGGAGUUCAUCAUCAACACACCAUUUGUUACUUCUUGGAGAGUGGUGUCUCCUAGAUUGGCUAGGUGUCACUUGGGAGCCUCCGACAAGAUUGUGGAGUUGAACCAAGGAGUUUGUAAGGGCAAGGAGAUCGCCUACUUCGUGAAGAUCUACCGCUAGUGAGGCAAGUCCUUCGUGGGCGACGACCAUGGUGGGAUAGACAAGGUUGCUUCUUCGUGGACCCUUCUUGGGUGGAGGCCUCCGUGGACUCGUGCAGCCGUUACCCUUUGUGGGUUGAAGUCUCCAUCAACGUGGAUGUACGAUAGCACCACCUAUCGGAACCACGACAAAAACAUCUGUGUCUCCAGUUGCGUUUGAAUUCUCCAAUCCCAUCCCUUUACAUUCUUGCAAGUUGCAUGCUUUACUUUCCGCUGCUCAUAUACUCUUUGCAUGCUUGCUUGAGAUGUAUUGUGAUUGUUAAACUUGUGCCAAAACUCCACUUAAAAUUAAAGAAACUAAAAACUGCAACUUUUAGCACUUAGUGUCUAAUCACCCCCCUCUAGACACCUCUUCUUGAUCCUUUCAAUGGGCUUUAGUGGAAAAGGAGAGAAGGGCCGCAGGGUGGCCGCCCCCCAUGGCUGGUCUGAAUUGGACUAGGAGGGGGCGGCGCCCCCCUCUUUCCUUCUCCCUCUCCACCUCCUUCCCUCUCUCCCCCUCUUGAAAAAGGAAGGGAACUCCAACCAGGGUUGGGAAUCCUAGUUGGACUCCCCCUAUUGGCGCGCCUCCCCCUUGGUCGGCCUCCUCCUAAUCCCUCCUGUAUAUACAGGGGCAGGGGGCACCCCAAAGCACAACAAUUAUUUUUAGCCGUGUGCUGUGCCCCCCUUCCACAGUUUAGCACCUCGGUCAUAUCGUCGUAGUGCUUAGGCGAAGCCCUGCGCUGGUAACAUCAUCAACACCGUCGCCAUGCCAUUGUGCUGAUGGAACUCUCCCUCAUCCUCAACUGGAUCAAGAGCUCGAGGGACAUUAUCAUGCUGAACGUGUGCUGAACACGGAGGUGCCAUACGUUCAGUACUUGGAUCGGUUGGAUCGUGAAGACGUUCGACUACAUCAACCGCGUUACUAAACACUUCCGCUUUCGGUCUAGGAGGGUACAUGGACACACUCUUCUGUAUCAUUGCUAUGCACCUCCUUGAUAGAUCUUGCGUGUUCGUAGGAAUUUUUUGAAUUACUACGUUCCCCAACAGUGGCAUCUGAGCCAGGUCUAUGCGUAGAUGUUUUAUGCACGAGUAGAACACAAAGAGUUGUGGGCGAUAAUAGUCACACUGCUUACCACCAAUGUCUUACUUUGAUUCGGCGGUAUUGUUGGAUGAAGCGGCCCGGUCCUACAUUACAUGACCGCGUUCAUGAGAUAGGUUCUAUCGACGUGCUUUUGCACAUAGGUGGAUGGUGGGUGGCUAUUUCUCCAACUUUAGUUGAAUCGAUUUGACUACGGCCGGUCCUUGUUGAUGGUUAAAACAACACACUGGACGAAAAAUCGUUGUGGUUUUGAUGUGUAGGUAAGGACGGUUCUUGCUAGAAGCCCAUAGCAGCCACGUAAAACUUGCAACAACAAAGUACAUGAUGUCUAACUUGUUUUUGCGGGGCUUGUUGUGAUGUGAUAUGGUUAAGGCAUGAUGUGAUAUAAAUUGUUGUAUGAGAUGAUAAUGUUUUGUAACAGAGUUAUCGACAACUGGCAGGAGCCAUAUGGUUGUUGCUUUAUUGUAUGAAAUGCAAUCGCCAUGUAAUUGCUUUACUUUAUCACUAGCAGUAGCGAUAGUCAUAGUAGCAAUAGUUGGCGAGGCGACAACGAUGCUACGAUGGAGAUCAAGGUGUCAAGCCGGUGACGAUGGAGAUCAUGACGAUGCUUCGGUGAUGGAGAUCAUGAGCACAAGAUGAUGAUGGCCAUAUCAUGUCACAUAUUUUGAUUGCAUGUGAUGUUUAUCUUUUAUGCAUCUUAUUUUGCUUAGUACGGCGGUAGCAUUAUAAGAUGAUCCCUCACUAAAUUUCAAGGUAUAAGUGUUCUCCCUGAGUAUGCACCGUUGCUACAGUUCGUCGUGCCGAGACACCAUGUGAUGAUCGGGUGUGAUAAGUUCUAUGUUCACAUACAAUGGGUGCAAGCCAGUUUUGCACGUGCAGAAUACUUGGGUUAAACUUGACGAGCCUAGCAUAUGAAGAUAUGGCCUCGGAACACUAAGACCGAAAGGUCGAACGUGAAUCAUAUAGUAGAUAUGAUCAACAUAGUGAUGUUCACCAUUGAAAACUACUCCAUCUCACGUGAUGAUCGGACAUGGUUUAGUUGAUUUGGAUCAUGUGAUCAUUUAGAUGACUAGAGGGAUGUCUAUCUAAGUGGGAGUUCUUAAGUAAUAUGAUUAAUUGAACUUUAAUUUAUCAUGAACUUAGUCCUGAUAGUUUUUGCAUGUCUAUGUUGUUGUAGAUCAAUGGCCCGUGCUAUCGUUCCUUUGAAUUUUAAUGCGUUCCUAGAGAAAGCUAAGUUGAAAGAUGAUGGUAGCAAUUACACGGACUAGGUCCGUAACUUAGGAUUAUCCUCAUUGAUGCACAAAAGAAUUACGUCCUGGAAGCACCGCUAGGUGCAAGGCAUGCUGCAGAUGCAACUGCGGACGUUGUGAACAUCUGGCAGAGCAAAGCUGAUGACUACUCGAUAGUUCAGUGUGCCAUGCUUUGCAGCUUAGAAUCGGGACUUCAAAGACGUUUUGAACGUCAUGGAGCAUAUGAGAUGUUCCAAGAGUUGAAGUUAAUAUUUCAAGAAAAUGCCCGAGUUGGGAGAUAUGAUGUCUCCAACAAGUUCUAUAGCUGCAAAAUGGAGGAGAAUAGUUCUGUCAGUGAACACACACUCAGAAUGUCUGGGUACCAUAACCACUUGACUCAGUUGGGAGUUAAUCUUCCUGAUGAUAGUGUCAUUGACAGAGUUCUUCAAUCACUGCCACCAAGCUAUAAAGGCUUCAUGAUGAACUAUAAUAUGCAAGGGAUGACAAAAAUGAUUCUCGAGCUCUUCGCAAUGCUAAAGGCUGCGGAGGUAGAAAUCAAGAAGGAGCAUCAAGUGUUGAUGGUCAACAAGACCACUGGUUUCAAGAAAAAGGGCAAAGGGAAGAAGGGGAACUUCAAGAAGAAUAGGAAGCAAGUUGCUACUCCCGGGAAGAAACCCAAGUCUGGACCUAAGCCUAAAACUGAGUGCUUGUAUUGCAAAGGGACUGGUCACUGGAAGCGGAACUGCCCCAAGUAUUUUGCGGAUAAGAAGGAUGGCAAACUGAAAAGUACAUUUGAUAUACAUGUUAUUGACGUGUACCUUACUAAUUCUCGUAGUAGCACCUGGGUAUUUGAUACUGGUUCUGUUGCUCAUAUUUGCAACUCGAAACAGGGGCUACGGAUUAAAUGAAGAUUGGCUAAGGACGAGGUGACGAUGCGCGUCGGAAAUGGUUCCAAGGUUGAUGUGACCGCCGUCGGCACGCUACCUCUACAUCUACCUUCGAGAUUAGUUUUAGACCUGAAUAAUUGUUAUUUGGUGCCAGCGUUGAGCAAGCACAUUAAUCUGGAUCUUGUUUAAUGCAAGAUGGUUAUUCAUUUAAAUCAGAGAAUAAUGGUUGUUCUAUUUAUAUGAGUAAUAUCUUUUAUGCUCAUGCACCCUUGUUGGGUGGUCUAUUUUUAAUCGAAUCUCGAUCGUGGAGAUACACAUGUUCAUAAUAUUGAAGCCAAAAGAUGCAAAGUUGAUAAUGAUAGUACAAAUUAUUUGUGGCACCGCCGUUUAGGUCAUAUUAGUGUAAAGCGCAUGAAGAAACUCCAUGUUGAUGGGCUUUUGGAAUCACUUGAUUAUGAAUCACUUGGUACUUGCAAACCAUACCUCAUGGGCAAGAUGACUAAAACUCCGUUCUCCGAAACAAUGGAACGAGUUACUGACUUAUUGGAAAUAAUACAUACUGAUGUAUGCGGUCCAAUGAGUGCUAAGGCUCGUGGCGGGUAUCGUUAUUUCUUACCUUCAUAGAUGAUUUGAGAAGAUAUGGGUAUAUCUACUUAAUGAAACAUAAGUAUGAAACAUUUGAAAAGUUCAAAGAAUUUUAGAGUGAAGUGGAAAAUCAUCGUAACAAGAAAAAUAAAGUUUCUACGAUCUGAUCGUGGAGGCGAAUAUUUGAGUUAUGAGUUUGGUCUUCAUUUGAAACAACAUGGAAUAGUUUCACAACUCACGCCACGUGGAACACCACAACGUAAUGGUGUGUCCGAACAUCGUAACCGUACUUUAUUGGAUAUGGUGCGAUCUAUGACGUCUCUUACUGAUUUACUGCUAUCGUUUUGGGGUUAUGCUUUAGAGACAGCUGCAUUCACUUUAAAUAGGGCACCAUCAAAAUCCACUGAGACCACGCCUUAUGAACUGUGGUUUGGCAAGAAGCCAAAGUUGUCGUUUCUUAAAUUUUGGGGCUGUGAUGCUUAUGUGAAAAAGCUUCAACCUGAUAAGCUUGAACCCGAAUCGAAGAAGUGCAUCUUCGUAGGAUACCCAAAGGAAACUGUUGGGUACACCUUCUGUCACAUAUCCGAAGGCAAGAUAUUCGUUGCUAAGAAUGGAUCCUUUCUAGAGAAGGAGUUUCUCUCAAAAGAAUUGAGUGGGAGGAAAGUAGAACUUGAUGAGGUAUUUGUACCUUCUCCUGAAUUAGAAAGUAAUUCAUCACAGAAAUCAGUUCCAGUGAUUCCUACACUAAUUAGUGAGGAAGCUAAUGAUGAUGAUCAUGAAACUUUAGAUCAAGUUACCAAAAAACCUCGUAGGUCUUCUAGAGUAUGGUCCGCACCAGAGUGGUACAGUAAUCCCAUUCUGGAAGUCAUGUUACUAGACCAUGAUGAACCUACGAACUAUGAGGAAGCGAUGAUGAGCCCAGAUUCCGCGAAAUAACUUGAGGCCAUGAAAUCUGGGAUGGGAUCCAUGUAUGAGAACAAAGUGUGUACUUUGGUGGAUUUGCGCCAUGAUCGGCAAGCCAUAGAAAAUAAAUGGAUCUUCAAGAAGAAGACUGACACUGACGGUAAUGUUACUAUCUACAAAGCUUGACUUGUUGCGAAAGGUUUUCGACAAGUUCAAGGAGUUGACUACGACAAGACUUUCUCACCCGUAACGAUGCUUAAGUCUGUCCGAAUCAUGUUAGCAAUUACCACAUUUUAUGAUUAUGAAAUUUGGCAGAUGGAUGUCAAAAUUGCAUUCUUGAAUGGAUUUCUGGAAGAAGAGUUGUAUAUGAUGCAACCAGAAGGUUUUGUUGAUCCAAAGGGUGCUAACAAAGUGUGCAAGCUCCAGUGAUCCAUUUAUGGACUGGUGCAAGCCUCUCGGAGUUGGAAUAAACAUUUUGAUAGUGUGAUCAAAGCAUAUGGUUUUAUACAGAGUUUUGGAGAAGCCCGUAUUUACAAGAAAGUGAGUGGGAGCUCUAUAGCAUUUCUAAUAUUGUAUGUGGAUGACAUAUUGUUGAUUGGAAAUGAUAUAGAAUUUCUGGAUAGCAUAAAAGGAUACUUGAAUAAGAGUUUUUCAAUGAAAGACCUCGGUGAAGCUGCUUACAUAUUGGGCAUCAAGAUCUAUAGAGAUAGAUCAAGAUGCUUAAUUGGACUUUCACAAAGCACAUACCUUGAUAAAGUUUUGAAGAAGUUCAAAAUGGAUCAUUCAAAGAAAGGGUUCUUGCCUGUGUUAUAAGGUGUGAAGUUGAGUCAGACUCAAUGCCCGACCACUGUAGAAGAUAGAGAGAAAAUGAAAGUCAUUCCCUAUGCUUCAACCAUAGGUUCUAUCAUGUAUGCAAUGCUGUGUACCAGACCUGAUGUGUGCCUUGCUAUAAGUAUAGCAGGGAGGUAUCAAAGUAAUCCAGGAGUGGAGCACUGGACAUCGGUCAAGAACAUCCUGAAAUACCUGAAAAGGACUAAGGAUUUGUUUCUCGUUUAUGGGGGUGAAAAAGAGCUCGUCGUCAAUGGUUACAUCGAUGCAAGCUUUGACACUGAUCCAGAUGACUCUAAGUCACAGUCCGGAUACAUAUUUUUAUUGAAUGGUGGAGCUGUCAGUUGGUGCAGUUCCAAGCAGAGCGUCGUGGCGGGAUCUACGUGUGAAGCGGAGUACAUAGCUGCUUCGGAAGCAACAAAUGAAGGAGUCUGGACGAAGGAGUUCAUAUCCGAUCUAGGUGUCAUACCUAGUGCAUCGGGUCCAAUGAAAAUCUUUUGUGACAAUACUGGUGCAAUUGUCUUGGCAAAGGAAUCCAGAUUUCACAAGAGAACCAAACACAUCAAGAGUCACUUCAAUUCCAUCCGGCAUCAAGUUGCGGAGGGAGACAUAGAGAUUUGCAAAAUACACACGGAUCUGAAUGGUGCAAACCCGUUGACUAAGCCUCUUCCACGAGCAAAACAUGAUCAGCACCAAGACUCCAUGGGUGUUAGAAUGAUUACUGUGUAAUCUAGAUUAUUGACUCUAGGGCAAGUGGGAGACUGAAGGAAAUAUGCCCUAGAGGCAAUAAUAAAGUUGUUAUUUAUAUUUCCUUAUAUCAUGAUAAAUGUUUAUUAUUCAUGCUAGAAUUUUGUUAACCAUAAACUUAGUGCAUGUGUGAAUACAUAGACAAAACAUAGUGUCCCUAGCAUGCCUCUACUUGAAUAGCUCAUUAAUCAAAGAUGGUUAUGUUUCCUAACCAUAGACAUGUGUUGUCAUUUGAUGAAUGGGAUCACAUCAUUAGGAGAAUGAUGUGAUGGACAAUACCCAUCUGUUAGCUUAGCAUUAUGAUCGUUACAGUUUCAUUGCUACUACUUUCUUCAUGACUUAUACAUGUUCCUUAUACUAUGAGAUUAUGCAACUCUCGAAUACCGGAGGAACACCAUGUGUGCUAUCAAACAUCACAACAUAACUGGGUGAUUAUAAAGAUGCUCUACAGGUGUCUCCGAAGGUGUUUAUUGGGUUGGCAUAGAUCAAAAAUAGGAUUUGUCACUCCAUGUAUCGGAGAGGUAUCUCUGGGCCUUCUCGGUAAUGCUCAUCACUAUAAGCCUUGCAAGCAAUGUGACUAAUGAGUUAGUUGUGGGAUUAAGUAUUACAGAACGAGUAAAGAGACUUGUCGGUAACGAGAUUGAACUAGGUAUGAUGAUACCGAUGAUCAAAUCUCGGGCAAGUAACACACCAAUGACAAAGGGAACAACGUAUGUUGUUAUGCAGUUUGACCGAUAAAGAUCUUCGUAGAAUAUGUAGAAGCCAAUAUGAGCAUCUAGGUUCCGCUAUUGGUUAUUGAUCGGAGAUGUGUCUCGAUCAUGUCUACAUAGUUCUCGAACCCGUAGGGUCUGCAUGCUUAACGUUCGAUGACGAUUUGUAUUAUGAGUUAUGUGUUUUGGAUGAUCGAGUUUGUUCGGAGUCCCGGAUGAGUUCACGGAAGUGACGAGCGGUCUCGAAAUGGUUGAGACAUAAAUAUUGAUAUAUUGUAAGGCUAUGUUCGGACACCGAAAAGGUUUCGGAUAGGUUCAGGCAUUUUUUGGAGUACCGGGAGGUUACCGGAACCCCCCGGGGGAUUAAUGGGCCUUAAUGGGCUUUAGUGGAAAAGGAGAGGAGGACCGCAAGGUGGACGCGCCCCCUCCCCCAUGGAUGGUCUGAAUUGGACUAGGAGGGGGCAACACCCCCCCUCUUUCUUCUCCCUCUCCACCUCUUUCCCUCUGUCCCCCUCUUGGAAAAGGAAGGGGACUCCAACUAAGAUUGGGAAUCCUAGCUGGACUGCCCCUAUUGGUGCGCCUCCCCCUUUAUAUACGGGGGCAGGGGGCACCCCAAAGCACAACGGUUAUUCUUAGCUGUGUGCGGUGCCCCCCUUCCAUAGUUUAAUUCGUCGGUCAUAUCGUCGUAGUGCUUAGGUGAAGCCCUGCGGCGGUAACAUCAUCAACAUCGUCGCCACGCCGUCGUGCUGACAGAAAUCUCCCUCGUCCUCAACUGGAUCAAGAGCUCGAGGGAUGUCAUCAUGCUGAACGUGUUCUGAACAUGGAGGUGCCGUACGUUCGGUACUUGGAUCGUGAAGACGUUCGACUACGUCAACCGCAUUACUAAACGCUUCCGCUUUUGGUCUACGAGGGUACGUGGACACACUCUCCCGUCUCGUUGCUAUGCAUCUCCUAGAUAGAUCUUGCGUGAUCAUAGGAUUUUUUUUGAAUUACUACGUUCCCCAACAAUAUCAUGUGAAGAAGCAAAAACUUAGGCUCAACCAAAACUGACCGAUCAUUGUUGAAGAAGAAAGGUGGGAUGCUAACCAGGGCAUCCCCGAGCUUAGAUGCUAGAGACUUCUUGAUAUAUUAACUUGGGAUGCCUUGGGCAUCCCCAAGCUUGAUCUUUUGUAUCUCCUUAAUUCCUAUCGUAUCACGGUUCCCCUAGUUCUUAAAAACUUCAUCCACACAAAACUCAACAAGAACUCAUGAGGUAAGUUAGUGUAAUAAAGAAAUCAUUCACUUGGGUGCUGUCAAAGGCAAUAUUCAUAAUUGUUAUCACUUAAUUCCUACUAUACAUUAUCAAUUCCACAAUUUAUAUCACUUAAUAUAAGUUAUGGAAACACUAAAACAAGCAAACUAUGCAUUGAAAACAGAAUCUGUCAAAAACAGAAUAGUCUAUAAAAAUAUGGACUAUGACCAUACUUCUGUAAAUCCAAAAAUUCCUAAAAACUAUGACAAUGUAGGAACUUUGUUUACCAACAAUGUGUAAAAAUUUAGGUCACGUUUUGGCGAAUUUAAACAAUUUUGUUGCUCGAAGCAAAUGUUUCUGUUUUUUGCACAGAAUCAAGUCAACUAUCAUCCACACUACCUCGAAGGGUUUACUUGGCACUUUAUUGAAACAAAAGCUAUAAAACAUGAUUACUACAAUAGCUUAAUCAUGUUAACACACAAGAACAAUAGGUAUAAAUAUUGGGUUGUCUCCCAACAAGCGCUUUUCUUUAAUGCAUUUUUAGCUAGGCAUGAUGAUUUCAAUGAUGCUCAUGUAAGAGUAAAGAAUUGGAACAUAACGGGAGCAUCAUGAAGCAUAUUACUAGCACAUUUAAGUCUAACCCACUUCCUAUGCAUAGGGAUUUUUUGAGCAAACAAAUUAUGGAAGCAAGAAUCAACUAGCAUAGGAAGGCAAAACAAGCAAAACUUCAAGAUUUGCAACACAUAGAGAGGAAACUUGAUAUUAUUGCAAUAUGUAAAAGCAUAUGUUCCUCUCUCAUAAUAAUUUUUAGUAGCAUCAUGAAUGAAUUCAACAAUAUAGCUAUCACAUAAAGCAUUCUUUUCAUGAUGCAAAAGCAUAGAAAAUUUAUUACUCUCCACAUAAGCAAAUUUAUUCUCAUCAAUAGUAGGAGCAAACUCAACAAAAUAACUAUCAUGUGAUACUUGAUUGGGGUAAUCCAAUUGAAUUUGAAAUCAUGAUGACAAAUUUCAUGGUUAUCAUUAUUCUUUAUAGCAUACUUGUCAUUACAAUAAUCAUCAUAGAUAGCAGCUUUUUUAUCAUACUCAAUUGAAACCUCUUCCAAAAUAGUGGAUUCAUCAUUAAAUAAAGUCAUCACCUCUCCAAAUCUACAUUUAUAAUUGUUAUAAUAAGAUUCAACACCCUACAAAAUAGUGGUAUCAUCAUUACCUAUAGUUGACACUCUUCCAAACCCACUUUCAUCAAGAUAAUCAUCAUAAGUAGGAGGCAUGCUAUCAUCAUAAUAAAUUUGCUCAUCAAAACUUGAGGGACAAAAAAUAUGAUCUUCAUCAAACAUAGCAUCCCCAAGCUUAUGGCUUGGCAUAUCAUAAUCAUAAUAAAUCUCAUCAUUAAUAGUAUGAAUAGCACCAAUAAUAUAGCAAUUAUUAUCAUCACAAUUUACUAAGUUGGUGCAAAAAUAUUUUCAAGAUUAUAGGAAGUAUCAUUAUUCUCCCAAUCAUAAUCAUCACAAUGAUUAAUAGGCAUAACAAAAUCAUCCUCAAUAGUUUCUUCGAACAUUGUGCCAUAAGACAAAUAAUCAAUAUCAUCAUCAAGUCUAUCAUCUUCCACAAUUAUUUUUGAUUCAUUCUCAUGACGCAUAACAAUAAUAGGAGCAACAUCAUUUGUGAGGGAUACCUUUUUACCUUUGCUUCUCCGUCUUUUCUUUUUCUUCUCCAAAUCCUGUGUGGGUUUAAUCAAACUUUCGGAGCUCCUUAUUGAUGAGAUUGGUUGCAUAGGAAGCUCAUUCUCGUAACCUGUUUCAUUACAAGAGACAAUAGGAGGGAAAGUUGAGAGCUUUACCCUUUCAAUAGUAUUUCUUUUAUAUUCUGAUGGUUUCCCUAUCUUUCUAUAGUUGGCAAUAUAAGCAUUCUAAUUGCAAUUUACCACACAGAACAUAUAUAUUUCUUUAAGAGUAGUUUCAACAUGGUCGGUGAAUAUGAACGCUUUAAACCAAUUAUUUUUAUAUGACAAUUCUUCACACCCCAAAAAUAAACAAAGUUCAUUAUAAAGUUCAAGGGUGAUCAAGUUAUUGCAAUAUUUGGCCACGAUUCUAUCAUGAAAAAGUAUGCAUUGGAAAUUAAGAUGACCAACUCUAUUGCAAAGUUCACAAGUAAUGGGAUGAAGAGAUCAUAAUUUUGUAGGAAAUUUAUCUAUCACCUUAAGCCACCAAUUGGUUUUAUCAUGCACUACAAAAAAAGACACAUCCGUGACAUUUUGGGCUGAACGAAUUUUUUUCUAUCAUACAUAUGACACUUCUAUGACAAUAAUUGUGACAAAACCCGGUAUCAUCAUAGAUGUGGUGGGCUCCUAAUUCUAUGACAAAAAAUCAUGACACAAAAUGGUCUUUUCGUCCUGGGCGGGCCGGAGACGCAGCUGCAUGACAUUCUUGGGGCCGUCCAUGGCGGAAAAAACUAUGGUAGAAGCGAGGGCGAGGAAAAUAUCGAGGAGUUCCCGGUUACGGUGGGUGGUCGGGGGUCGAGCGAUGCGCGUUUCUCUCGUACACGUACGCGCGUGUGUGCAAGGCAUUGGCUCUAACUGAACCCAAGCGAGGCGUUAGGCUCUAACUGAACCCGAGCGAUUGCACUGCAGGCUACGCGUUACUGAACCCGAGCGAUCGAUCGUUGGCUGUUAAUUGAACCCGAUCGAGCGAUUCCUUCACUACUGCUGCUAACUGAAGCCGAUCGAUGCUGCCUCUCUGGAUGAUCAGUGAGCNNNNNNNNNNNNNNNNNNNNNNNNNNNNNNNNNNNNNNNNNNNNNNNNNNNNNNNNNNNNNNNNNNNNNNNNNNNNNNNNNNNNNNNNNNNNNNNNNNNNNNNNNNNNNNNNNNNNNNNNNNNNNNNNNNNNNNNNNNNNNNNNNNNNNNNNNNNNNNNNNNNNNNNNNNNNNNNNNNNNNNNNNNNNNNNNNNNNNNNNNNNNNNNNNNNNNNNNNNNNNNNNNNNNNNNNNNNNNAACAAUGAGCGGUGAGAGUGGAUGAACAUGACCCAUGGCGUUGCCUCUGGAUGAACAGGACCCCGAUCGAUCGAGCCGGUUGGGGCUGGAUGAACAGGACCCCGUGGAGGACUGGAUGAAUAGUAUGACCCCGUGGAGGGCUGGAUGAACAGUAGACGACGGAGGGGUGGAUGAACAGUAACCCGUGGAGGGGUGGUUGAACAGGAGCCCAUGGAGAGGGGUGGUUGAACAGUAGUCGGUGGAGUAGCGCGCGGUGGAGGCUGGAUGAACAGGAGCCCGUGGAUGAACAGUCACAGGUGGAGGCUGGAGGAGGUCGAUGGUGGAUGAACAGUAGCCUGUGGAGGCUGGAGGAGGUCGACGGUGGAGAUGAACAGUAUCUCGUGGAGUCCCGUUUUGCGGUACGCCAUACCCCUCCCGAUGAACAGGACCCCCGUUUCGACCUAGCGCUCCAACACAAGUCCGUUUCGUCCGUUUUGUGGUACGCCACACCCCUCCCGAUCAACAUGACCCCCAUUUCGACCAUAGGAGGUCCAUUUCCUCCGUUUUGCGGUACGCCAGACCCCCCCUCCCGAUGAGCAGGAUCUCAUUUCAAACGUGGCCGGUUGAACACAAGGCCGUUUCUUCCAUUCUGUGGUACGGCAGGCCUCGUUUCCAUUGCCUGUUCCGUCCAAGCCCUCCCGAUGAACACGACGACGCAUUUCGUUCCGACCCAGCCGGUUGGCUCCCCAUGAACACGACGACGCUGUUUCUCUGUUCCGACUCAGCCAUGUACACGAGCCCUGGCCAUACGUAUAUAUGCGCGAGUAGGCGUUCGAGACCCCGCCCAUAUGUACGUACGUGGUCGUAUUUUCUUUCUUGCACCCUGGCCGAUGUACGUACGUGUACAUGCUACGUGUGCGCCUCUACUACGACACGUGCGCGCCUCUACUACGGCAUGUGGGCGCCUCUACAACGACCACUAUGUACGUACAUGUUCGCGACCACAAUGACAAUGCUAUGUAUGCUUCGACCAGGUGGGUCCCGACUGUCAGGCACUUCCUUGCGUGCGAAGAUGUAGCUGCUGGGUCCCAGCAGUCAGGGGGGGUGAAUCAUUUUGGUUUUUUGCCCGGACGCACUUCCUUGCAUGUGAAGGUGUAGCUGGUGGGUCCCAGCAGUCAGGGGGGAAACGUUUUUUCAUGAAAUACGGUGGCCCGUACAGUGGGUCCCCGCUGUCAGGUGGAGGAAUAAUUAUUUUGCGCGUAAUAACGAGGCACUUCCUUGCGACCGCCAUGGACCCAGGUGUCAGCCUCUCCACAUACAGUCCACGUCCGAUGGAAACCGUUCCUUGACCACAUUGACCACACCGCGCCGAGAGCACCAGGGCGGUGGACGACGGCGAGGCCUAGGAAGGGGACGACGCGGAGCCGGGGAAGAUGCGACAGUGGAUGCCUACGCGUAGAAGAGUACAAGGGUUCACUGGUUCGCUGCGGUGUGAGGCUGCCGUUGCCGCAGAAUAAUAGUUAACAGGGGGUAUGGGUGAGUAGAGGUAUGGCCUGGCCAGCGGUGGGAGUAGUAGGGGGCAGUGAGGCCUCCGCCACAUCACAGUCAGCCACGGGAGGCAGGAGCACGAGGCACGACCGGCGCUGGUUUGGGCAGCUGGAGCAAGAAGACCAGAGGUUGAAGAAGCACUACGGCCAUUGGAUGGACACCGUACGAUCACUGGAGCUAGAAUCAUGCAUAUUGACUAAGUUGACAAAGCCCUCCAUCCCCAUCAACUUAGUAGGCCCACAAGUCAGCCUGCCACUAUACUGGGUCCCAGCUAACAUGGGGAGUAUUCAUUUUUGUGUGCGUAAUAAGGAGGCACUUCCUUGCGUGCGAAGAUAUAGUUGGUGGGUCCGAGCUGUCAGUGGCGGUAACGUUUUUUUCAUGAAAUACAGAGGCCUUUCGGUGGGUCCCUGAUGUCAGGUGGAGGAAUCAUUAUUUUGCGCGUAAUAAGGAGGCAUUUCCUUGCGUGCGGCCAUGGACCCAGCUGUCAGCCUCUCCAUGUACAGUCCACUUCAGAUGCAUGUCGGUCGUUGACCAUGUUGACCAGGCCGCGUCGAGAGCACCAGGGCGGUGGACGACGGCGAGGCCUAGGAAGGGAAUGACACGGAGGCAGGGAAGACUCGGCAGUUGUUUCCCACGCGAAGGGGAGUACGACUGUACGAGGGUUUACUGGUUCGUCUGCCGUCGCCGGAGAAUAAUAGCAGGUGUGGGUGAGUAGAGGGAUGGCUAGGCCAGCGAUGGGAGUACGAUGGGGGCGGUGAGGCCUGCGCGACAGCACAGCCGACCAUGGGGAGCAGGGAGCAGGUAGUCUCACCGACGCUUGUUUGAGCGGCUGGAGCAGGAAGAGCACAGAUUGAAGAAUCAGGACGGCCGUUGGAUGGACAUCCAAUAGUCACUGCUUGUGCGUCAAACUUUCUUUUUAGGAAAGCCUCAAAUCCGUGGAAAACAGCAUACAACCCAUCUGCCAUUAUUUCUAAUAAUUUACAGCCCAUUUGCUAAUUCUUAAGGUUUUUUUUGGAGCCCAUAUUCUUUUUGUUAGCAUUACAGCCCAUAUUGUGGCCACAGUUAAAAAAUUAUAUGAAAUUUGCAUAUUUCGGUGCGGUCCGAACUGUUUUUAAUCCCGAAAUUUCAACUCACAUUCAAACUGAUUUUAAAAAUAAAUGUAUAUCAAUAUAAAAUCCAACAAAUUCUCCAUGCAUAAAAUUUAAUGUAAUUUAAAAUCUCGAAAUAAAAAAAAAGAUAUUUGAAACUAAUUGCCGCUUUGAUGUGUUUUAAAAAUGUACAACCCAUUUCUCAUUACUGAUGGGCCAUUUUCUCGGCCAACCAAAUGAAAGCUCUCCUCAUCUUGAAAGAUUUGCAGCCCAACAGGCCUGACAAAGCGACUUACUUGGCAAAUCACAAAAAAACUGGGCUCUGGCCGUGGACCCAACUGUCAGCCUCUCCACGUACAGUACUCUUCUGAUGGAAUGUCGUUGACCACAUUAACCACGCCGCGCCGAGAGCACCAAGGCGGCGGACGACGGCGAGGCCUAGGAAGGGGACGACGCGGAGCCGGGGAAGACGCGGUAGUGGAUGCCCACACGGAGAGGAGUACGAGGGUUCACCGGUUCGGCUGCGGUGUGAGGCUGCCAUCGUCGCAGGUCCUGGCUAGGGGUGGGAGUAGUAGGGGGCGAUGAGGCCUCAACGGCAGCAUAGCCUACCAUUGGAGGCAGGAGCAGGCAGUCUCCCCGGCGCUGGUUUGGGCAGCUGGUGCAAGAAGAGCAACGGUUGAAGAAGCAGCAGGACCAUUCGAUUCAAAUCCAACGGUUACUGCUGCUAGAAUCGUUUGUUGACUAAGUUGACAAGCCCUGCGUACGCGUCAACUUAGUAGGCCCACAGGUGAGCCUCCCAACCGGUGCACCCCAGGUGUCAGUGGGAGGAAUCAUUUUUUUUUGCGUAAUAAGGAGGCAGUUGAUUGCGUGCGGCCAGGCCAGCGGAGGGAGUAGGGUGGGCCAGGGAAGCCUGCACGGCAUCACAGUGGGCCACAAGGGGAGGGAGCAGGUAGUCCUGCCAGCGCUAGUUUAGGCAGUUGGAGCGGGAAGAUCAGAGAUUGAAGAAGCACGUCGGCCGUUGGAUGGACAUCCAACAGUCACUGCUGCUAGAAUCGUGUGUUCACUGACAAAGCCUUGCGUAAACAAGUCAGCCUCGAAAUAUGUGGCGUGUACAACCCAUUUGCUAUUAUUUUUAUAAUUUUUACUCAUUUUCUAAUUCAUAUGGAAUUUAUUGCAGCCCAUUUUCCAUUUUUAGAAUUGCUGGCCAUUUUCUGGUCAGUACCAGGGUCAAAAAAUUAACUAAAUAUGUGGGAAAUUUUGAAAAUUCGCAAAUUUUUGCUGGGGAACGAAAUAUUCUUAAUCCAAAAAUUAAUAGCCAUACUAAAACAAAUUUAAAAAUAAAUUAGUACUGUGUCAUGUUAAAUCCAAUGAAAUACGUAUAAGAUAUCAGUGAAGAAAAAAAACAAAAAAAGAAACUAAUAUCCCAUUUGCUAUAAUUUUUUUGGAAUUUUCAACCCCUUUUGAUAUUACUUUUAACAGACAUUGACCAUACUCUUCAGCCAGGCCGGAAUGCAUCCCUCCUCGUCUUGAAAGAUUUGCAGCCCAGUAAUUCGGAGAAAACAAAUAGGCCUAGCUUGGGUAUUCUUCAAAAAGAAAUACUGGGCUACCUAUUUUCCUAAAGAACUGGUGCAUGAGCAUUUAGCUUUAUUUAUUUAUUUAUUUAUUUAUGUUUAGGGGACCAUGAGCAUGUACCUGGGCCGGAUUCAUGUGAGAGCCUCCCUUCCAGUUAAUUAUGGGCUUCUCUAUUGGGCCUUCAUCAGUGGGCUGCAUGUUAUCAACAAGUGGAAAAUGUGUUCCGUACGAAAAAUAGUAUGAGCUACGUACGGUACGGGGCACUAAAGGAUCAAACCAUGCAACGACUUCCAAAACAUUGUGUUUGUCGUUCUAACAACACAUUUAUCCAACCAACAGACGGAAUAUACUACUGAUUGUACAUUGAAAACAACAGCAACAGUAACCAGGGCUGGGGGUGCAACAGAAAUAGUAAGCAGGCCAGAAGAUUGAAGACGCAUCUCUCUCUUCCAAACCAAACAUCAGCCAUCAUUACAAAAGGGCUACCAAAAAAGAACAAGUGUAUGCAUCAAACUAAAUAAAAAUCCUACUACACCAAGUGUACGCAUCUAACUAACUGGCUUAGUUAGACGUUACUAUUUAUCAAGCUGUGGAGAUUGGCUGACGGCUUGAACCAGAUGGGUGCCCGACGGGGGAAACUCCAGCCACCAGGUCGAAGUCUGAUACUUGCGACCCUCUCUCCUACUUUGGGCUGCAGAGCAUGGCGGGACAUAUCAGGAUAUGGUGCAUGCAGAGACACAUGGUAUGCUGUGUACACACAAUUUUGCCUGAUGAACGAAACCGCGCUGCCAUCAUGAUCCUUGCCGUCGAUUAUCUCCUGGUUAAUCGGAUAAUUCAGUCGGACAAACAGAGAGCGUGUACCAAGGCUACUUACCAGCCUCCAGUCAAAAAUUCCUGAAGGCCCAGAGAAGCUGGGAUCCUGCUCAAAGACCUUGCAGUGACUGUGAUUGUAUUCCGCGAAACAACACGUCUGGUAUGUGCGAAUGAUCAUCAAUCUUUCGCCGUUGUCUGAUCGAGCCAGGAACCACCUACAACUGCCAUGCCGCUUUUCUUUGAAAGGUUCUGGGAUUAGGAAGGGUAGGGACACCAGGCAGCCUACAACAUCAUAUCAAGUUGGAGUCAAAUAAAAAAGGGCUCUUGAUUUAGUCAAUCUUAAGAACAGCAUGUUAUGAGCAUGAAUAUUUUUUCAGUAAAUCUUGACAGUAAUAUAAGCAAGCCAUCAUGAUAUCAUAGGAAAGUAACAUACUGCUGUAAGAGCCGUUUGUAGCGAUGACUAGAGUAGGCCAUCAAUAUGUCCAUCCAUAGAAGGAGUCGACAGCGUAAAUGAAGCCCUUGUGUUCAAUGGCAUCAGAGAACCAUGGAGGAUGUAUGAUCCUGUGAUGGACGUGCAAAUUUAUCCACUUACCGCAGUGACCUGUCAGAUAGGCGAGACCGCGGUUGAAGAACGCAAUUAGCCUGAAGUCUUUAUAAUUCGCAGAUCUUGUGGGCACUUGGCAGAUUACAACCUUGAGCAAAUCAAACUUGGUAUCAUGUUGGCUACUGUAAGAUUCCGAGUAUUUUGGGCCGCGGUGCCAAAGCAGUGCAGUGUUAAUCGAAGGAAGGGGGAUCAAUCGCCGGGUGUAGACCUCCACGAGCAUCUAGCUGCUUCGACCGUCGACGAGCACCAUCCAAGACGUGCUCAUGCCGAACCAGUACAUACUGUUAAUGUAGCUGAGGCUGACGGGGAUCGGAUCGCAGUCAAGGGGGUUGAUGGUCGCCACGCUACGAUUGUUAUGCUGCGUGACACGCUGUUUCUAAAGAUCAGGCGGCAUCAGCAAGCAAGGAGCUGGCUUAAAAAGCUCCGAGCUGAGGGCUUUGAGUAAACGGUACAGCCCCGACGAGCACGCGGUGAGCGACAUGGUACUGAGAUUGUCCACAUGCGAAACAAUGAGCUUGAUUACCUCUGUGGGGAGCGAAUUCCAGCCACUCUUUCGGUGGAUGCUGCUCGGUUUUGCCAUUGUUAGUGCUUGGGUUUCGGAUGAGGGGGGGAGGCGCCUUAGCGGGGAUGUAAGAUUGGACGAGAUUAUGUGCGGACAAAGAUGGAGAAGCGAAUAUGUGCUGUGGGAAGUGGACAGAUGAUGAUGACUACAUCACGCCGCUCGACUUACGAGACACAUACCAGCAGCGUAGGGUCAUACCGAUGCCAGACAACUUGCUUGAGUGAUCACAAUACUGGUACUCCCUACAGUACUAUGGCCUAACUUGCUUGAGUAGAGUAGUAGAGUAGGACUCUGCUCUACUACUAGCACCAGAGGAGUAGUAUAUUCUAAUCUAAAAUAGUUACAAACUUCAAUGCCAGAGCGUGGAACGACUAUGAACCGUGCUCAAAGACUGUGCCUACGUGGUGUUUGGACUUAUAUGCAAAAAAUAGCAAGAUGCCCGUGCAUUGCACGGCACACCAUCAUCACCAACUCGGUUUUUUAUCUACUCCUACUCCUAUAAAAGACUUAGUUGGUGAUGAUGGAGGCGAGGAGGCAUGUUCAGCCGGGCGUGCAGCGGAUGGUGCAUCACUAUUCGAUUUGUUAUAAAAAAAAGAAGAGUAGUAGAGAUAGAGACUUAAGGGAGGAGCACGAGGUUGUGGGAGAUAAGGAUGAACGAGGCAAGGCCUUAUCUAUAAAUGUGGAGAGAGGUGUGGGUAUCGUUUGUAUAAUUGUCAUAGUUGGCUUUCUAUCCGUCAGAUGUAGAUUGGACGGUCUAUAUUACAACAUGGCAGGCAUACCAUCAUCACCAACUUUGCUUUUUAUAAGAGUAGAGAGAUAUCUCUACUCUUAUAAAAAACAGAGUUGGUGAUGAUGGUGCGCCUGCCAUCCUGCAAUAUAAGUUGUCCGAUUUAUAUCUGACGGAUAGGAAGGAAAAAUGGAAAUUUUGCAAAAAGAUACCCACAGCCACUCAACAUUUGCAAAUAAGGCCUUCCCUCAUUCAUCCUUUUCUCCCACAAGAUAAACUACUCAUACAAAUGCAUCUUGAUGUUCUGUGCAAUGCAUGGGCAUCUUGCUAGUAGAUAGAUAGAGACUAGGGAGUACUAGUAAGGACACCAUCUACUGCUUCGUGUGCUACUCCUGCGCUCCAUUCGGCGGCCACAACGUCCCCUACAGUCACUCCCUCCCGCGCUCCAUUCGGCGGGCGCUGUUGACAUUUGGGGAGCACACUGUCGCGACUGCUGGCAGCCACAACUUCACCGACGACGACUUCUUCCCCGACCUCGGCAACCUCUUCCUCAACAACAUGGGCGACAACCUCAACGCCAACGGUGCUGCUCCGAUUGCACUGUAUGUGUUUUUGUCCUUCCUAUUUGAAAUCGUGGAAGAAUUCAUGUUUCUACUCUGUAUCCUACUACUAUGCUAGUCCACAUGAUUAGUUUCAUCUCUGUUAUAGCCGUCAUGAUUUAUUUUGUGCUUAUUCAGAUUAAAUCUCGUAGUAACUUGCUCAUAUAUUCAACUGGCGCAACGUCCCCUAUAGCCACUCCCGUUUCAUGGACGGCCUGGUCGAUGCCUCCAAGGAGCCCUUCAUCCACUGCUAUGAGUGCCCGAUGUCGUUUUGGGGCUCGCUGGCGGACAUGGUGCAUCACCUCACGGAUGCGUGCAUCGGUCACUGCUGGCCCUUGGCGGAGAACAUCAAGUACGAGACGUGCUACCCGUUCAUCAUACCGGAGUCGCUGGAGGAUCACCGCCGCCUGCUAGUCUCGGAGGAGGACAACAACGUCUUCCUCUUGAUCGUGGGCACCGGCGAGGCCCGCGCAGGCCGCCGCCCCAUCUCUGUAGUGUGCGUCAGGGGCGACGCCGCUGACGCUGACAUUGACACGAGGCCGAUGUACGGGUGAGUGGUCAGUGUUACUAACCCUCCGGGUCACGUGGGCGGCGACACCGGCCUUAUAGAACAGACUUGUACUCUGGGGAGCUGGGACUAUCCCGCCGAUGUGGACUUGGAAAACCCAUGGCAUCCUUUACCCGCCGACGCGGUGCACGGGGAUUCCAAGGAGGUUCACCUGGACAUACACAUUAUCAAGUUAAAUGUUGAUCAUUAGUCUUCGCUCAAUGUAAUCCGCUGUCUAAGCAUGUGGAGACUUCCAUGCAGGAUCUUGCUCUAUUGGAGUAUCGCGCAUGAAUAAAAGUGUAUCCGUUUAUGGUUUAGUCUAGAAUCUUCCAUGUAUGAAUUUUUACUACAGUACUGGUGAAAGACUUACGAUGAACCAUUUCUUACAUCUCCUCUGCCCCCUUGCAAGUUAUCCUUAUUUAAUCCCUCCGUCUAUGUGUAUAAGGGCAUGGUUAAUAUUACUUAAUAGUAUAGCCAACUAUUGACUAUAAGAAAGUGCCAUGUCAUCUAUAGCCAACAUGUAUAACAAUCAAUACUCAAAAACUAAUUCUUAAAGAUCAUUUCUUGCAAAGCACAAUAAGUGUUAUUUCUUCACAAGUUUUGGAUGCAGGUUGAACAGUUGAACACUUUUGUUUGCAAAAGAUACCUUUUUAUCUAUUUCACCCGGAUGUUUGUGAGCUCUAGAGAUGAAAUAAUAUCCGAAGAAACCUAUCGAUACCCGUUACACAUGAGAUGACCCCUACAUCCUUUGUCAAAAUAAACAACUCCCCGAUCAAUGCAUUUCACUCUUCGGUGCAACGCACGGGCACCUUACUACUAUAGAUUAGUAUGACCAAAAAUUGAACUAACAUUAUAUAUAGUAUGAUAAAUGCUGAUGCAUGUCACCUAAAAUUAUAUCAUUCAAAACUAUGUUCAAAUACGAAUCCAGCGAUAUAGUUUUUGUUGACAUGCACUAACAUUUUGUUAGUUAAAUCUUCAGUCAAAUUCAAUGGGGGGCUAAUAAACCACGACCGAUGUAGUACAAGUGUAGAGGGCGGCGCUGCACGGGAGUCUCACCUCUCACCCCGCUCGUGGCGUGACAGUAAAGCCGUCAUAUCCCAAAACCCAACCACUCCCAGUAAUAAGUGGUCUGGUAAAAUAAACGGACAAGCAACCAUCACAUCCCUCCAUUUUUUUGCAUUUCAUCUCUCUGCAUUUACUUUCUCCGGUUCAUCUCGCACACACAAUCCCUAGCUACUACUCCUAGGGCCAGUUCUUUUGGUGACUUCCCCAGCUUUUCCCAUAAGACUACUCAUAGUGGAGAGUAACAAUAAGGCGCCUCACACAUUUAUUUGGGCUUCUAAACUACUACUCCGUCCUGGUUUAUUCCUCACCAUUGUAAUUUGUGCUAAAUUUUGACCAAAGAUUUAACUGAUAAAAUAUUACUCCCUCCGUCUAGGUGUGUAAGUCAUCUUACGAAAACCAAAUAAUCCCAAAACACUUAGGCGCUGUGCAUUAACUUCUACCCCAUUUCUUGUUUCUUGACAUAUCAACCAAUAAGAGAUAAAGAGUGUGCAUGCUUUUAAUGACUUGAGAUAUCAAACACGACAUGCAGUGGUUAAUCCAUUGCAUGCAAUACUAUUAAUUAGCAAAUAAACAUUAAUGUUUCUCGUUUUCUCCUCCUCCUUGGUCACGGUGCACAGCCUAAGAUGACUUACUCACCUAGACAGAUGGAGUAGUGCAUGUGACAUGCACUAACAUUUCAUUAGUUAAAUUUAUGAUCAAAAUUUGACUCACAUUACAAUGGGGACCAAUAAACCAGGACAGAGGUAGUAGUUAUGGGAUUACUAAUCUAGAAGCCUAAAAGAACUGGCCCAUGGUACUCCUACUAGUAGUAGUACUCAAGUUGGAAUUCCAAUUGCACGGCACAACUUGUUAGGCAAAAAAUCGAUACAGGGUGUAGGAAGCGGUUUGUGAAUUUGCAUGCCUUUCCAACCAGUGAGAUACUCCGUACAAAGUACGACAGAGAAAUAACCACAGAGAAGGAAGCUAAAAGUAAACAAUCAAACGAGCAUUUUUGCAUUUGUUUUGCAUUGAAUCGUUUCACAAGCUUGACUAGUGCUGUUUUUCUACUUUUACAAAAAAAUCACAUCAUAAUUUUUAAACGUGCAUUUGCACGUACAUAAGUAAUAGUAGUACUCCCUCCGUCUAGGUGUGUAAGUCUUCCCUCCUUCUUGGUCACGGUGCACAACCAAAGAUGACUUAUUGACCUAGACGGAGGGAGUAGAACAGUCUGCAAGCAUAUAUCGAGAGAGACGUGUAGAGCGAUAGUAUAUAGUAAAGUUUGUGCUAUAUGCACGUACUUGCAAAAUGCGUAUGGAUACACAAGGUUUCUAAACUUUCCCUUUUACAUACUUAAUUGAGGAUGCUAAAAAUUCCUGAACCUUUGGGAUUUAUCAUUCGCGUCCCAAAACUAAUGAGAUCGCCUUACGAAACAAAAAUUGUACUCCUCCUAAAAGCCACAGUGCUCGUAGGAGCACUUGCGGCGCGCCACGAGUGCCCUGGUUUGCGGCCGUUUCCCAGCGCGCCGACACAACGCCUCUUCCUCAGCCUCGCAACUCGCGAGGUGCUGAUUGGCGGCUUGCCGGUGGGCGAGCGCGAUCUCACUGGUGUGGUGAUCCGGCGCCAACAGGUACUCCUCCUCGCUGGAAGCGUGCACCCGGUCCACGUACCGCCAAGUGUAGAUGAGGCGCUUGGGCCCGACUGCAUUCAGGGCGUCGGCACGGGCGUCCUCCGCCACCCUCACGGCUCUCGUACGAGCCUUCUGCUAAAGAGCCAAUUGCCUGACUCUCCCGGAUGCGACAUAGGCCUCCCAGGCAGCUUGUUCCGUGGUGUGCUUCUCUUCCUCGACCUUCUUCUCUGCCUCUAUUUUUGUGCGCUCUGCUGGAGGCAAAGCCUCCCACAAGGCGACAUCCAUUUCUUUCCAAAUCUUCUCAGGGCUGGGGGGCUCGGCGGGCGGCGCGGUGUUCUCCUUGUAGCGGGGAGCUGACGCGUCCUCCGACGCGCGUGCUGGUGAGAUUGGGAACGCUGACGCGUCCACCUCGACGCGUCACGGCGAGGAGCGGAACACCGACGCGUCCUCCUCGACUAGUGGCGGCGAGGAACGGAACGGCGACGCGUCGCGUUGCGGCGAGGAGCGGAACGCCGACGCAUCCUCCUCGACUAGUGGCGGUGAGGAACGGAACAACGAUGCGUUGCAUAGCGGAGAGGAGCGGAACACCGACGCGUCCUCCUCGACUAGUGGCGGCAAGGAACGGAACGACGACGGGUGACCGUCCACGCGGUGCAGCGAGGGGCUCCUAGGGCUUAGGAGGGGCGAUGCCAUGGUGGUCAACGUGAGAGGGAGGGGAGGAGAUAGCCAUGAACGUGACCCAAUGCACCUGCAGUUAAGUAACAACUACAUGGGCAUAUUUGUUGGAGUAAAUUACGGGGGAGGGAAGGGGUGGAAAUAUUGCUGGUCACAACGGAUUGGACGAGCAUGGGGGGAGGCGAGUCAUGCAUGCAGAUUUUUUCACACGAGGUGGAGUGGUGGGACCGCUGGAGGGAGAAGGAGAGUUUGGCAGGCAUAUUGUUUCCACACAUGGAGAGAAAAAUAUUUGGAGACGAACGGGCUUCCUGCAGGUAUGGGGAACGGUGCAUAAUAAGUCAUCUUGCAUGCCGGGCUAGGUAUAGUCUCAAGUCAUUAAAAACAUACACGCCCAACACAAGUUCAUAUUUCAAGGUGCACUAAAUUAUUGCAUGCGAUGAUUAAGGCUGGCCAUAAUGGUGGUAUCUUAGCUGGUAUCAUGCACACGGAAAUAGCAAACAUGCUGAUGUGGCAAAGAAUUAAAGAAGAGAGGGGGGUUAGAGUAACUAGUGUUCAUGCAUGCAUUGGUAAACACAUUUUUUUGUGAAGAACGACAACAUUAGUUGAGUACUUUUGCAGACUUCAAAAACUAUUCCACCGCCUCUACUAUCUUGCUAAGAGUAGGUGAAAUUUUUGAAUCGAGCCCUUUAAACUAGAAGGGAGGUAGUGGUACUCUAAUAGCUAACCUUGUUGUGAUGACAAGAUAGGACAUGGCACGCACCUGGGCAGAGGAACUAGUCUGCAUUGUGCAUUUAAGUUUUGUCUGAAGUCAAUUUACCUCUACUUUCACCAGACUUAUAGAAAAAUGUACUAUCAACAUUCACAAUGUCAAAUCAAUAUUUUUACACUCAUUAUAAAACAUAGUUCUUAUACUCAUUAUAAUCAGUAUUGUAGAUAUUGAUAUUUUUAGUAUAAAUUUGGUCGUGGGAUUUCAUUGAUGCCUGUCAAAGCAUGGAGGAAGCGGAGCUUAGGGCUUGCAUUGCCGGUCUCUACAUAGGUAUUUCUCUUCAUAGUCUUGUAAUUUUAGAGACUGAUUGCGCUUUUGUGGUAGCGUCUCUUGCAUCAGGGGACUAUGACAGGUCUGCUAUGCGUGACCUAAAGAUGAAAGCGUUGAGCAUCUCGAAGUUGAUCAACAAUCUUCAAUUGUCAAAGAUUAGCCAUUCGGCCAAUAAGGUGGCACACUUAAUCGCUAAGUAUAGCUUUGACAAUAGAUUAGAUGGUAUUCUUGUAAAUAACGUACCACCCUGUGUGGUGAAUCAUGCAUGCGGAGUAGGCAAAAAAAAUUGCUCAUUUAUAGCCGGUCGAAGUCUCAAAGGGCGCGACCGCGUGAGGGAGGCAAAGGUCAUGGGAGGCGCGACAGUUGACGGAAUUAAGUGAAGUUACAUCCACGUGCCGACAUGGCGUGCGAACAAGCAGAAGCUAUACCAUCAGGCCUACGAUAUGGGUCUAGUAGACAUGACAUCUAGUGGGUCCCGCAUAGUUCUCGAGAACUCUUUGGGGGCUUGCAGCCGUUUAUCCACCGGGCAAGCCAGCAACCCCACGCCGUUCGCACGCCCUACUCGUCCACGUCUUCUACCUUACAACAGUUCGCUCCUAGUCGUCCCGUUCUUUCACAUUAGUUCGCUCCCAGUUUUUUUUGCGGAGUACAACAGUUCAACUUCUCCUAACUCUCCUCCAAAAUCCAUGGCCUCCCAAAUCUCCAUGGUCGCCGCUGAGUACCAGGUUAGAGCCAUCACCGGUGAUGAGUUCAUCCUCAUCUACACACGUGGAUCCGCGACGGUGAAAGCAUGCCUUGCUCAUUUCCUACGCAUGUUCAACAGUUCAACGGAUGAGUGGGUGGCUGGGCUAGAUGUUGAGUACACCACAGUCCUGGGACGAGAGAAGGAUCUAAAGGACAAAGAGAGGAAGAAGCCCGUCGUGAGCCAGGUUUGCGUACAUAAGGUUUGCUUCGUCUACCACAUAUGCCAUGCCAACGUUGAGUGCCAGGAUUUUAAGAACUUCCUCAAGGACAACAGAGUGAAAUUCGUUACUGUAGGCUUUAAGAACGACAGGGAUGUCCUGCGUCGGAUAGGUCUCGUUGUAGGCCAGCCCUUCGAUCUCCAGAAAGCAAGCCUGGUGUCCUCCUGUCAACCUUCAAUGCUGACCCUGGCAACAGCCAUGAUUGAUCCUUCAUACGCUAAACUGAAGAAACGUCAUCAUGAGCUUCAUCAUGCAUGGGAGCUGAAGACAUUAGAUGAAGAUCACAUCCUCUAUGCAGCAAUGGAUGCCUACCUUUGUUUAAAUAUCUACAAGGGUUGGAUGAAGAAGCAGAGCCCAGUGUCCGGUUCAAGCAAAGAAGCAUCGGCGAAGAGGAAGAGGAAGAGGGACGAGGACGAAGUCAAGGACGUGGACUCGGACUCCGAGUAGGUGGCAGUGCCGUCGCUCAUGCUGGUUCUACUGCAGUGUCAAGUGGACUAGUUGCUUAGUUUAUUUUCAAGGGUGUGUUAUGCUGAGGCCCCAGCAGAACUAUGUUUAUGUUCUUUCUCGUUAUUUGAACUCUUUAGUACGUACAGUAGUACUAGUACUAUGUCUUACUACUGUUCUUCUUGCAGUUGUUAUUACUGCUCGUAUCUUCGUGUUCCUACUGUACUUAAUACGUUCAUGCUAGUAGUAUAAUUUGGGUCAGUCGUUUUGUGAAAGAAGUUCGACGGAGCAAAGGAAGAAGACGACAGAAGAGGUGGAAGAAGCCCUUCUAGCCAUCCAUGUUGCAUCAAAUGGCUCACAAGAGUCGACUGACCCAAAUUGCUCCUUCAGAUUGCAGGAUCCACGUGGUAUUCAAGGUCUCGAAGGUAGAUUCCGCGUCCGCACCCGGUUUGCGACCUCGAUGCGCGCGCGACCGGCUUCCGCCGUGACAACCACCAUGUGCGCCUCCUCCGCGUGGGUGGAGACAACAAUGACACGCUAGUUCCUCCUCACCGACGUGCUGGAGCACGCGCUCGUCCUCCUCUUCGUACGCUGCGUGCAUAGACGCGGCUCCACCAGCUGCUCGCGUACUUGGCAGUGCGGCGACAUCGUGAGGUGGGACUGCAAACGACGUGAGUGGGCGAGCCUUCGGCUUCAUGGCACAGGGAUGGCGGCGACACGGCGGUGAUGGGCGAGAAAUUGUUGGCCGGAGCAGGCGGGCGCCGGCAUGCGCAACGGCAGCGGCGACAUAUUGAUGAGUGCGCGUGUAGGAGCUUACUUUAGUUUUAUAUAAGGUUGGUCAAACUUAAAAGAAAACCGUAAUAGUACAUGUAAACAUUAGACUUAGGCAGCGCUCCUUUUAUUAGUUAGUGCCACAACCAAGAUACAGAAUCCUGUGCAAGCGCGUGAACCGCGACCGCGCGGUCGAUCGAAUGGUGCGUCACCGUGUCGCGCUCGAAGGACAUCCACCGAACCUUUUUGUGUGUGUGAAAACAAUCCUCGAAUAUUACUCAACUUUUUUUUCCCGGGAAAGUUCUUGACGCUGCAAUAUUUCCAUAUAUUUGAAUUUAGCUCCAGUUCGUGUUUAUCUGGAUUUGGACGUUUAAGGUGCGCCCUAGUUUUUUUUAAUACUGAUUUUGUCUGUGUGACUGAGAGAGAACGUGUGUAUGUGUCCAUAUGUGUGUUGUGGCGGAAGGGCAAUGUGGAGACGGUGUGCGUGUGAUACAAACAUAGAGAGGUGUGAAUGUGCAAAUGAUCAUGCAUGAGUGAGACAUAGACAGAUGCCGAUACGUUGUGGAUACAUGAGAGAAUGGUCUUCUAGUUUACUUGUGUGUGUGUGUGUGUGAGAGAGAGAGAGAGAGAGGAGCAUCCGUAACACAACAACCAUCUCUCUCGAUUCGUCGGUCCCUUGCAUGAUCGCAUGCAACACAUGCAUCAACGCGCACAUUUUGACACCCUCACCCGGCCCCUGCCCACAUCAAGGCCCGCAUAAUCUCUUCGUGAAUACCCAUUUAUCUCCUUAGGUUUGUUUUCUCUCAAUAUCUGACACACACACACACAUACAGAGAGAGAGACACACACACGUAGCACAACACACACACACCCUCCCUCGAGCACACAAUUCAUCCCCAUCCAAGGUUAUACGGCGACCACUCUCACUUGUGCUUCUUUGCACCCCAACAUGCACAACACCUCAAUCUUCAAAGAGGGCAUCGAGCAGAUCAAAGACGGCAACCACACUGCACUAGAGAAUGCAGGGUCAUUUGGAAGCAGGGUGAUGUGACGAUGGCUGACUGACUCCUCCCCCCACCCUCUCUCUCUCUUGCACAAAAUUACCAAUCCCUCUCUCCCCGCACAAAAUUGUCAAUCCCUCAACCCACGAGAUCCUUCCCCUCUCAUCCAUGUUUUUCCAGCUCGCUCAUCAAACAUGUUGUCUCUUCUCCUUCCGCGUAUACAGAAUCCGGAUGCACAAGCAUCUCACAUAUAUUACAUGUAUCCAUCUUUCUCACAGACCUAACUUCUUCCUCUCUCUUUCUAUCUCUCUCUCUAUCUCGUUUGGUUUGUGUCCUACUCUCUCAUCCACAUACAUACAAUAUUUCCUGCCCUAUCUGCUCCAUCUUCAAAAGCUCUCUCUGCACGUUUCAUUCACACAUUGGGAUAUGUCAAAAUGUUGCUUCUAUAAUGGUUGAUGUAGAGUUAUGGUUGUUUUUGUUGCAUCCUACAAAGUAAUAACUAUGAAAUGCAUUUAGAUUCUCAUUUGACUGGGAUUAUGUGAGUUUGAGCAUGUUGUGAAGUAGUAUAGACCUUGUAUACAUCUUGGGAUUCGACAAUGAUUGUAACUAUUGAAUUGUAUAGACCAUUACAUUCGUAGUCAAUAGCCUAAUAUAUUUAUUUCACAAUUUCAACAAAUGAUUAGUUCACUACAAACUAAGAAAACAAAUGUGUACUCCCUUUGUUUUUAUUUAAGUCUGUGUAUUAGCAUUGGUUAAAGUCAAGUUUUGUAAACUCUCAGAAAGCUUAUAACAAAAAAUAUUAACACAUACAAUAACAAAUAAAUACCAUUAAAUUCAUUAUUGAAUGUACUUUCACAUCAUACAUAUUUGUUAUGGUAAAUGUUUAGAUUUUUCUAUAAACUUGGUCAAACUUUAGGAAGUUUGACUUCGGUCAAACCUAAUAUGCAGAGUUUACUACUACUACUCGCUAGUUACUUAGCCGAAUCACUCAACGCGCCACACGGGGAGUCCAGUGUCACAAAAUUUUGAGGUCGACGGGAAAAUCUCCCACGACCCUGAUUCGAGCAGUGGGAAGUUACCAUCAUAGCCUUCGGAAUAGGCCUACGGAUGACGGUUGGUAGGGGGCUGUUUUCGUAACUUCAGGUUCACCCUACCCAGCCAACCCCACCCCGACACCCAGAGUAGUACACCUGAAUACUCCCCAUUAUCUAUCCCCACCGCAAGAUAGACUUCUCCACGGCACCGCAGCCUUCGUGCUCCUCCCCCUUUACAUCGGCACACUCGUCCACCGUAGCGCAUCUGCCUCAUCGACGACCUCGUACGCCGCACUGGAGCCGGUCCACCGUCGUCGUCGUACACGGAGCCUCUUCCCCGGCAUCGUCUUCCACGGUCUCGGAUCUGCUUCCCGGAAGCUGACGCCAAGCAUAGAAGUACCACCGUCAUGGACAAUGAACUGACUCCCGUUGCCGACCAUGACUCACAGAGGCCGCCGCAACCAUCGUUCUCCUUCUCGAUUGGUAAUGUCUCUAUUGAAUCACUUAGCAGUACAUGUGCAGUUCCAAUUUUGUUCAUACCUACCCUUCAAAUUUCCUGGGUGCUAUUGUUCCUGUAAAAGUAAUUAGUUAUAGCCUCCAUUGUCCAACAGAAUAUCAGCUUGUAAUUGUGCGUCGCUCCUGUAUCGCGCUGUUCUUGGGUAGGUUUUUCAUCUGCAACCAGUAGUGUGGCAAAUGAUGGAAAGAUUUUUAGAACUAGCAAGAUGCCCAUGCAUUGCACGCAUCAAGAUGCAUUUGAAUGAGUAGUUUAUCUUGUGGGAGAAAAGGAUGAACGAGGAAAGGACUUAUUUGCAAAUCUGGAGAGGGGUAUGGGUAUAUUUUUGCAAAAUUCCCAUCUGUUUCCUUCCUAUCUGUCGGAUAUAAAUCGGACGGCUUAUAUUGCAAGAAAAAAAGUAUAGAGAAAAAAAACUAGCCAAUAGAGAAGUAGAUAUAAAUAUUAAAUAUUAAGUAUAAAAUAAAUAUAACAGUAGAGAAGAGAGUAGAGAUAGCAGAGACGUCGGGAAAGGAUCACGCGCACGCGGGAAAAAGCGGCCGGGCGUGCGCUAGUUUUGGCGCGCGGCAUCGGACGCGCUUUAUAAAAUCCAACGCCCUCCCACCGCUCUGUGCCUUGCCACCGCUCUCUCCCCGCUCUGUGACUCACCACCGCUCUCUCCCCGCUCUUUUCCGCCUCGCCGCUGCCGCGCCACCAUGCCACCGCAUCACCGGGAAACUUGGGGAUACCGCGGCGUCCGCACGCGCCCCUCCGACGGCUUCUCUGCUGAGAUCCGGUUCCGCGGGAUGUGCCUCGGCCUCGGCAAUUUCGACACCGCCAACGAGGCCGCCCGCGCAUACGACGCGGCGGCGUGGUGCCUCUGGUGGCCUCAUAGAACAUUGAACUUCCCCAACGUGCCGACGCGGGAGCGGGCGCAGGAGCUUGCGCCUCUACCGUGGCUUAGCACCGACAAGGAUCGUCGCGACAACCGGAGGCGGGAGCACCAUCUCGUCAUCGCCGAGAUGGACGAGGAAGCCAUGGCGCUAUGUCGCCAACACUUCCUGCAGGACAUCAUCCACGAGCGCGAGUUCUACACGUGAAGGAGGGGAGAGAGGGAUAAGAGGAGGGCGGUGUGAGCCGCCUAUCGGAGGACAAGCGUAGGCGAAAAGCGGACGCUCAAUUCAACAUGAGGCUAGGAGAAGCGUCGCCCUGGGAAUCCGACGACGAUCGGUAUCUUCACGCAUACAGUCAGACGUCGGAGGAGGACAUCACCUAGGAGGAGUCGGACGAUGAGGAGUAGUUGAAUUAUCUUUUUUUAUCUAUAUAUGCUGAGAACUAUCCUCUACUCUCUAGUCUCUACUUCUCGAUCUUAGCACUGUAAAAGCUUUUUUAAAGCGCCGCGCGUUGUGAUUCUGUUGGAGAUGCUCUAACAUGGCAGACGAGUGCUUUAAUGUUGCCCACAAGAUGCGCGAGUAUUACUAGUAGUAUAUUUUUCUUACCAUGUUGAGAUUUUAAAACCACGAGUGCGAACAUGCAGAGGAGCAAUGAAUACCAAACACGGGAUAUUUGGGACAUCUUCAAGGAGCGUGGCAAGUUAAAGAGGAGCUGCACCGAACCUGUAAAACGAGCUUUGGUAAGUAACACCCUUUCAAUUACUUUCGUUUAGCCUUGUGUUCUUCAAUGUGUAUAUGUUGUAGUUUCUGUUGCUCUUAAGCGUGGUGUUCUUUGAUUUGUAAUAAGAAGAGUCUUAAUCGUCCUAAUGCUUUCAUUUUUAGCUUGAUGUAGGAAGUGGGUGUUCUCACCUUGUAGUCUGUUUUUAUAUAUUUUUCCUUUUGAAUUCACUUCUCUGAGUUCUGUUUAUCUGGCUUCUACUAAAUGGAUCUAGGUUGCUCUGAGUAUUGAUCUAAAAAAGAAGUAACUUCAUGUCAGGAUGCAGUUCCUGCGAGGAGGGAAGUAUGGUCAACCUCGAGAUCAUGUUUCCAAAAUGAGGCUGGAUUAUACACAAGGUGCCAGUUCCCUAAUGUUGCUGGAUUAGACACAAGGUGCAAAUUCCCAGAUGAUGCUGGAUUACGCAAAAGCUAGGUGGAGUCGUCAGUUGUUCGUGUCCUCGUGGCAUUAGUAAAGGUUGAAAGAAAGCGUGCAGCAGCCCUUGAGAAUGUAGCCAAGUUCCUGAAGAAGCGAAAAGAGCAAUCAGAUGCUCUCUUCACCCAAGCCAAAGAAGAGAUGGAAGAAGCUAGAGAUGACCUAGCAGAGGCAGAGCAGGCUAGGCGUCUCCUGCUAUCUAAAACUGUUGUCAAUACAAAAUUUCCUUCAUAAUAGCUAGGUUCAAAUAUUUAUCCAGUCAGCAUGCCUGUUGUGGUGUCCGUGCAUCUACUGAUGUGGCACAAAAUAUUUUUUCGGGUCAUGUAAUAACAGCAAUUACUUUCCAAACAAUAACAGACGAAGCAUUGGACAUGGUAUAGUUCAUGCGCAAGACCGACAUUCCAAGUUCAACUUCCACAUCAAACUCAUGUUCACAUAUAUCUGCACAUUCAUACAUAAUGUCCACAACCAUGAUUCACUUCAAAGCCAAAAAAAUGUGAGGAGAGUUAUAAAUAAAGAAAAACCUCUACUAGUUCCUGCUACCAGUGCGAGCACAACAAGUCAAGACCAUGCGUAAAUUAAUUAUAUUUUAGUCAUUUUUUGUGUUCUAAAAUGCCUGCCGGCUCGCGGAAGGACGUGUUUCCGGCACAUGCGCGGAUUCAAUGAAGGCAGGCGGGGCAGUCUUAAGCUGGUUGCACGCGGCAAGGAGGCGUGCUCAGCCGGGACUGCAGCGAGUGCGGCCCUCUUGGAGGGCGUGCCGGUUCAAUGCCUGCGCUAUGAGAGGUCGCGUCCGUGUCAGAGCAAUCACUCCCUCCAGUCCUUUUUUGUUUGGGUAUAAUAAAAUCUUGUUUUCCAUUCACAUUUUAAAUUCGUGGACAAACUUUGACCCAAAGUACGGUGGGGACUAGUAAAUGAGAAUGGACGUAGUAGUUCUUUUUAAUCAGCAUUACUGACCCAAAGUACGGCGCCAGAAAAGAGCUUGAUGUCUACUACUCAACCUUUCUUCUUGUAGACUUGUGUUGGUCCUCCAAGAAUAGAGUGUUGUAGGACAGCAGAAAAUUUCCCUCAAGUGGAUGACCAAAGGUUUAUCAAUCUGUCGGAGGUGUAGGAUCAAGAUGGUCUCUCUCAAACAAUCCCGCAAACAAAUAACAAAGAGUCUCUUGUGUCCCCAACACACCCAAUACAAUGGCAAAUUGUAUACGUGCACUAGUUCGGCAAAAUGAUGGUGAUAAAAGUGUAGUAUGGAUAGUAGAAGGCUUAUACGCAAUCAUCAUCAAAAACAAAUGGAACAUCUCUUUGAAGGAGAUUAGUUACCAGCCUAGUAGUCUUAGAGAAAUCUUUAAUGAACCUUCUAUAGAAACCAACAUGGCCAAGGAAACUUCUUAUACCUUUAAUAUAUUUAGGACAUGGCAUCUUCUCAUUUGCACCAAGUUAGCUUUAUCUACCUCAAUACCUUGAAAAAAAAA